CACCGCGGAUGACCCCUUUGGUCCCCGUUUGGGAUCUCUGUUGCUGUACAUGUAAAUGUUUACCCGUUUCAUGUGCUGGAUGGUGGCUUGGCUUGCCGUUGUACAGGCGGGGGGAACUUGUGCUGUUAGCUCAGGUGUAAACAAACCAGUGGGAUGUGCUGUUAGUUUGGGUUUAUCUGUAGGGAUACAUACCAGUCACCCUGUCGACUCUGAACAUAAGUAACUGUUUAUCUGUUGAACUUGGCAACUGUUAUCUCCUGUGUUUCAUGUGCCUGUGGCCGUGGUGGUGUUAUUUAAUCUUUGUGGUACUCCUAGUUUACCCGUUUGCCCAGUGUUGAACCUAGGCCAGGAAUUUCCUGGCGUUCCAACCUCGGCAUGGUAAUUGGCACGCCCAGUUGGUGUUGUAUACAUCACCACAAGGCUUCUUCCUUGCACGACAAGGAAAGAAGUUGGCAAUGGCCUAAAUACGUAGUAAAAAUCGUAAUUCAUGUUUAUGCCAUCUGAGUUCAUCCUUCACUAAAUUAUGGUCGCACUCCUGCUCUUUUAUGCCUUGCUUCUCAGGUACUGGACCGGAUUCCCAUCGCGCCCAGUCUAACCGCCGGCGAAAUCGACCCUCUCUCCUCCCUGGUUCAGGUGCGUGCUGUGAGCUCUUCCGCCAUUUCUGGUGGUGCCUGCUCUGCCUUUCCUUCCUACCAUUUCCUCACGCAACCAUCUAAUAUGGCCGGGGCGAUGGUGAGCGCCGCCACGGGGUCCUUGGGGCCGGUCCUGGAGAAGCUGGCCGGCAUGCUGGGGGGCGCGUGCGUACGUGGCGAGGUGAUAGUUCCUCAAGCCAGAGCUCGAGCACAUGGGCGCAUUCCUCGUAAGGCUGUCCCGGGUGGAGGACCCCGAAGCAGCUGAAGGCGGCGUCCAUUGUGGGGUUUGGUGGGAUGGGCAAGACGACUCCUGCCAACCAAAUCUACCACUCGUUUGGAGAGCAAUUCAAGUACCGGGCUUUCGUGUCCGUCUCUCGAGACCCUGAGGCGCUGAAGGUUCUGAGAGGUAUUCUGAGCCAACUGAGCAAGCUAGAGCACAGUGGCACUGAAUCUGGGGAUGAGAGACAACUCAUUGACAACAUUCUAUAUUUCCUUCGAGACAAAAGGUAUGAAGCUAUAAUCAUCACCCCUAUGGCUAAUCCAUCAAUAGGAACUUUGGUCAUGCGCACUUUAGAAACAUUACAGUCUAUGACUAAAUUUACAACCAAAUUCAUGUGGCAGGUACUACAUUGUGAUUGAUGACGUAUGGAGCGUAGAGACAUGGGAGAUUAUCAAAUGUGCAAUUCCCAGAAACAGAUUUGGUAGUAGAGUAAUCACGACAACGCGUAUAAAGGCAGUGGCCGAAUCAUGCUCCUCCACAUAUGCAGACCAUGUUUAUGAAAUGAGGCCUCUUAGCGCCGUGCACUCAAAGGGGUUGUUCCUCGAGAGANNNNNNNNNNNNNNNNNNNNNNNNNNNNNNNNNNNNNNNNNNNNNNNNNNNNNNNNNNNNNNNNNNNNNNNNNNNNNNNNNNNNNNNNNNNNNNNNNNNNNNNNNNNNNNNNNNNNNNNNNNNNNNNNNNNNNNNNNNNNNNNNNNNNNNNNNNNNNNNNNNNNNNNNNNNNNNNNNNNNNNNNNNNNNNNNNNNNNNNNNNNNNNNNNNNNNNNNNNNNNNNNNNNNNNNNNNNNNNNNNNNNNNNNNNNNNNNNNNNNNNNNNNNNNNNNNNNNNNNNNNNNNNNNNNNNNNNNNNNNNNNNNNNNNNNNNNNNNNNNNNNNNNNNNNNNNNNNNNNNNNNNNNNNNNNNNNNNNNNNNNNNNNNNNNNNNNNNNNNNNNNNNNNNNNNNNNNNNNNNNNNNNNNNNNNNNNNNAUUUGUGAUGAUAUAUUGAAGAAAUGCGGCGGUUUGCCGCUGGCGAUUAUUACCAUUUCUGGCCUACUGGCGAACAAAGCUCAGACCAUGGUUCAAUGGGCCCAAGUGCAAAGUUCCAUUGGUUGUGCACAUCAAAGAUAUCCAAGUGUUGAAAGAAUGAUAAAGAUACUAUCCCUUAGUUACUUUGACCUCCAUCACGAUCUGAAAACUUGUCUAUUGUAUCCAAGUAUAUUCCCAGAGGAUUAUCCCAUUGAGAAGAGCCGUCUGAUAAGAAGAUGGAUCGCAGGCAGAGGGAUUUAUUCAAGGAAGGAGCGGGCACACUACGUAUGAACUGGGGGAGAGGUGCUUCAAUGAGCUGAUCAACAGGAGCCUGAUCCAACCAUGGCAUAUAAAUAGGUACAGGGAGGUGACAGUAUGCCGAGUUCAUGACACAAUCCUUGAUUUCAUAGUGUACAAGUCUGUUGAAGAGAACUUUGUCACCCUACUUGGUGUUCCAGAGCUUACUGGUAGGCCACAUAACAAGGUUCGUCGAUUAUCUCUCCAGCACAAGAGCAAUGAAGAUGUUCUUUUUGAGAUUACUGUUAGGCCACAUAAUCUCAAAAAGAAAAAAAGCAAUGGAGAUAUCCUACGACCAAACUUGAUUUAUUCUCAUGUUCGAUCUCUUACUGUUUUUGGGCGUUCGAUGCGAAUCCCUUCUCGGUUUAAAUCCAGAUUUGUGCGGGUUUUGGACUUGGAAGGCUGCCACAUGUUAGCAGGCUAUCUUAACAACAUAUCUAGCUCAUUUCAACUCAAGUACCUUAGCCUCAGAAACACACUUAUUACUGAGCUCCCGGAACAAAUCGGCGAACUGCGGGAUCUAGAGACACUGAACCUCGAAGGCACGUUCAUAACUGAAUUGCCAGCAACCAUCGCUCGACUUCGGCACUUGGUGCAUCUGUUGAUAAAUAGAGGGGUUAAGCUACCGGAUGGAACUGGGAACAUGCAAGGAUUAGAAGAGCUGAAAGUAAUUAGUUUAUUUGAGCAGCCAACUGGCUUCUUCCAGGAAUUUGGUCUCCUAACAAACAUGAUAGAUGUGAGCAUGUUUUGGGACAUUCCGAACAGGAACUCGAGAAGUUAUCUUGGAAAGAGAAGAAGGGAUCAGAGUUCAUUUGAAACUUCUGAUGUGCACCUGAAUAAUGCAGUGUCUUCCCUCUGUAAGCUGUGCACAUGCAAUCUUCAGUCUCUGUCCCUUGAUACCACUUUCAGUAUCGCAUUCAGGUUUUCCCUCAUUGAUCAAAAGCGGUAUCACCAUAUCACAGACUCCAGGUACAACUCAGUCACAACAGUACCAUGUUAAUUUUCGAUGAAAAUACCAUACUAUGUGUUCCUUUGGGAUGCUUCAUGUAUAGGAUAUAUUCUUCUUCUCUGUCUUUCUAGGAGGCUCCAAGCACCAGCUAGCUUCAUGGUCAAGCCAUGGCCACCUUUUCUUCCGAGAGAAAAGACGAAUGCCAUCCUUCCCUUGUAGUGGGUCUGGAUUCCAGUUGGAGCUCUGUAUGAACACUGGUGUAAAUUAACAGACCAGACCAGUGGGAUCUGCCAAUGUCACCCCACCUGUCGACUCUUCUGAACAUAAGUAAACUUUUGAUCUGCCGAAACUUGGCAAGUACGUACUGUCUUAUCCGAUGCGUGUCAGCUCAUCAACUAGAGAAUAAGAUUCUUGCCUUCCUUCACGGUCAUCAAGAGUACACAUACCGUAGGCGCAUGCCUUGCUCUUGUAUACAAAGAAACAAUCUUCCUUGUAUUGCUCUUUGUCUGCGAUCAAGCGCGAGCGCCGCAGCCACCCGCCGUCCUCCUCCUGCUGCCCCAAGAACGCGGGAGCGGGCCUCCGCCCGCCGCUGCCCGCAGGCCUUCCUCUGCUGCCACACGGACGGACGUCGGCCGCCGCCGCCGGUGCUCCUCUGCCUCCUGCUAGACGACAGGAUCCCGCCACCGCCGUCCCCCUGGUAGCCUGUCCUCGACUCGCCAACUAGCAAGUGCCCCACAGGUUGGUUGUUUGCAACUUGAUCGAUGUGGCUUCCAUUUGUAGCAGAGCAGCUUCGGUUGAUAAAGAUUUUAACUUCACUAGCUUUGGUAAAUAAGUUGUCUUGUGUUGGCCAUGGGCCCAUGGUGCAGCAACGCGGUCUUUUCUACUCCAGGGUUUAUUUUUUUGCUGUACACCUGCUGGGUUAAGCAUGCAAAUGCCCGCUGUACGUAGGACAAUGACAUCCAUGACUAGCGUGCAAGUGCAACAAUAAGAUUGGCCCUUUCGCGGGAAGUAAUAAUCACGAUCAUAACCGGUAACAGUAGAUUACUGGCUCAUGGUAACUUUCUUCUAGAGUAGGUCAGUUCUGAAUAUCACCUGACCUGGUUAUGCUCAUUCCACAGCAAAUGAAGUCAUGUACAGUAAGUACAGUAGUACUGUAAAUAUGUAUCACGGCCUCAAAAACCCUCCAGCGGUUUAUCGCUGUGGUAGACCAUUCGUUUUCGAUCUCACGGUGAAGAGAAAAGGCGUGUCUCAAAAUCCUCCGCGGGUAGCCCGCUGCAAACUACGUAUCCGAUUUGCUAGCCCACACCACUGUAAUGGUUUCCCCAAACGUGUAAGGGCAUUUCUAACUGAUCCCUAAAAGUUAGCAGAGUAUAUACCUUACUGAAAUAUAUACAGUCCACUAAAAUUUCGCCACACCUAGCUGAUCUCCUAAAGUUAGCGGAGUAAAACUAAAUUUGCACAGAUUCAAUCAAAUUUGAACCGAAAGAUGAUGCAUUUAAAUAUAAGUUGAACGGAUCAUAACAAUUUAUUUACAAGGCCAACAGACUCCCGUAGGGAGCUUUAUUACCGGUUCGUAAGGGCCUUUAGUGCCGGUUCUGCAACCGGCACUGAAGGGUGGAGACUAAAGCCCCCCUCCCCUCCCCCCUUUAGUACCAGUUUGGCACGAACUGCCACUAAAGGCCCACCACAUGGCGUGAGCUCGCGUCAUGGUAUGGGGGACCUUUAGUACCGGUUGGUGUUACCAAUCGGUACUAAAGGUAUUUUUUUUGAAAAUUUUGGAAUUCUGAAUUAUUUGAUGAUUUAGUCACCCCUCUUAACUGCUCAAGUGUGGAUCACUCAUUCCAAAUUGUCUAACUUUCCGGUCGGUCACCCAUCCUCUCACUCCAGCCUGAGCAUACUUAACUUCGGAGUUCUAACACCCUACUUUCCAAGUCUGCACUUGUUGUUUUCCUGACAAAUGUAAGCUGUCAAUCCUAUUAACCCUCAGUAGUUUAGCUUGAGCAUUAGGUCACAUGUUUCACCGUUUGAGUUUGAAACUAUUAUACUAAAAAACAGUAAUUAUUUAGUAACACUAAUAUUUCUUGAAUAAGUUUGACCAUAGUUUGACCACAGUUUGACCAUAGUUUGACCAGAUUUGACCAAAAUUCAAAAAAUUGAAAUAAUUAUUUAGUAAUACUAAUAUUCUUGAAUAAUUAUGUAGUAACAUUAAUACUUCUUGAAUAAGUAGUUUGACCAGAUUUAACCAAAAUUAAAAAAAACUAAAAUUUGAGCAUAUCUUUUUUUCUUUUUGGAAUUUGAGGAUUCUAAAAUAUUGCAAAUCGGCCAUAGGCCGUCAAAAUCUAAUGCGGAUUUUCGUGCUGAACAUUUUGAUAUAUUAUACGUUUUUUUCCGACAUUGUAUGCAAAAGUUAUAGCCGUUUUACUUUUUCAUAACACUUUUUUUGCAAAACAUGUCCAAAUUUAAGUUUUUUAAUUUCCCUAACUAGUAGAUGUAGUAAUAUAACUACAUCUCGAAGAAUUUUAAUUUUUUAAUUUUUUAUCAUUUCCUUCUGUUUUUUUUCAAAACUGAAAUGGCGAUAGGGGGGGGGGGGGUAGAGUUUGAAAAUUGCCCUAUAGUCCCGGUUUGUGCCUCCAACCGGGACUAUAGGUCAGACCCCUUUAGUCCCAGUUUGUGGAAGGAACCGAUACUAAAGGUUAGACCUAUAGUACCGGUUUGUGCCACGAACCGGGACUAAAGGUGAUCAUGGGGCCCCAGCCUGACGCCAGCUUGCCACCACCCCUUUAGUACCGGUUCGUGGAACGAACCAGUACUAAAGGUUCAACACGAACCGACAUUAAUGCAUAGCCGUUCGAACCGGCACUAAUGGUACCAUUAGUACCGGGCCAAAAUCGAACCGGGACUAAUGUGUCUCACAUUAGGUCGUUUUUCUACUAGUGCGUGUCGCUCCUCGCGAGCGGCACGAGAGCAACCCUAGCCACCGCCGCUAGCCACCCAUCACCCCACCCGAUUCCCCUCGCCGCCGCCGGUGCACGCCGCCGGGCAAAGCCUGCGCGGCGUCGGCGGUGGUAGGGUCCUUUCAUCCCUCUCGCGAGGCAUAGUGGCGCAGGGCAGCACAGCUGGGCAGAGGAGCAUGGGCCGGCGUGGCGUCUUCGGGCUCACGGCGGCUAGAGGCAACGCGGCCGCGCCUGGGUGUGGCAGGGGCACAUGGUCUUGGCGCAAGGGCGGGCGAGCUAGGUGGCGCGGAUCUGGCGAGGAUGGGCGUGGUCACCGCGGUCGCAUGGAUCUGCCGCUCGGGUCUGGGCGCAAUCCAUGAAGGAAAUAUGCCCUAGAGGCAAUAAUAAAGUUGUUAUUUAUAUUUCCUUAUAUCAUGAUAAAUGUUUAUUAUUCAUGCUAGAAUUGUAUUAACCGGAAACUUAGUACAUGUGUGAAUACGUAGACAAACAAACGGUCACUAGUAUGCCUCUACUUGACUAGCUCGUUAAUCAAAGAUGGUUAAGUUUCCUAGCCAUGGACAAGAGUUGUCAUUUGAUGAUCGGGAUCGCAUCAUUAGAGAAUGAUGUGAUUGACUUGACCCAUCCGUUAGCUUAGCACUUUGAUCGUUUAGUUUAUUGCUAUUGCUUUGUCCAUAACUUAUACAUGUUCCUAUGACUAUGAGAUUAUGCAACUCCCGAAUACCAGAGGAACACUUAGUGUGCUAUCAAAUGUCACAAUGUAACUGGGUGACUAUAAAGAUGCUCUACCGGUAUCUCCGAUGAUGUUUGUUGAGUUGGCAUAUAUCGAGAUUAGGAUUUGUCACUCGGUGUAUCGGAGAGGUAUCUCUGGGCCCUCUCGGUAAUACACAUCACUAUAAGCCUUGCAAGCAAUGUGAAUAAUGAGUUAGUUACGGGAUGUUGCAUUACGGAACGAAUAAAGAGACUUUCCGUUAACGAGAUUGAACUAGGUAUUGAGAUACCGACGAUCGAAUCUCGGGCAAGUAACAUACCGAUGACAAAGGGAACAACAUAUGUUGUUAUGCGGUUUGACCGAUAAAGAUCUUCAUAGAAUAUGUAGGAACCAAUAUGAGCAUCCAGGUUCCGCUAUUGGUUAUUGACCAGAGACGAGUCUCAGUCAUGUCUACAUAGUUCUCGAACCCGUAGGGUCUGCACGCUUAACGUUCGGUGACGAUAUGUAUUAUGAGUUUAUGUGUUUUGAUGUACCAAAGGUAGUUCGGAGUCCCGGAUGUGAUCACGGACAUGACGAGGAGUCUCGAAAUGGUCGAGACAUAAAGAUUGAUAUAUUAGACGGCUAUGUUUGGACACCGGAAGUGUUCCAGGAGGUUUCGGAUAAAACCGGAGUGCCGGAGGGUAACUGGAACCCCCCGGAAAGUUAUUGGGCCCUUAGUGGGAUUUAGGGGAGAAAGAGGGCAGCAGCCAGGAGGUGCCCCCCCCCAAGUGAGUCCGAAUUGGACUAGGGGAGGGGGGCGCGGCCCCUCUUUCCCUCUCCCUCCCCCUCUUCUUCCUUCCCCCCUCCUAGUAGGACUAGGAAAGGAGGAAUCCUACUCCUACUAGGAGGAGGAUUCCUCCCCCCUUGGCGCGCCCUCUAGGGCCGGCCGGCCUCCUCCUCCCUCCUUUAUAUACGGGGGAGGGAGGCACCCCAUAGACACACAAGUUGAUUGUUUAGCCGUGUGCGGUGCCCCCCUUCACAGAUUUCCACCUCAGUCAUAUCGUUGUAGAGCUUAGGCGAAGCCCUGCGUCGGUAACUUCAUCAUCACCAUCAUCACGCCAUCGUGCUGACGAAAUUAUCCCUCGACCUCAGCUGGAUCUAGAGUUCGUGGGACGUCACCGAGCCGAACGUGUGCAGAUUGUGGAGGUGCCGUACCUUUGGUGCUAGGAUCGGUUGGAUCAUGAAGACGUACGACUACAUCAACCGCGUUGUCAUAACGCUUCCGCUUACUGUCUAUGAGGGUACGUGGACAACACUCUUCCCCUCUUGUUGCUAUGCAUCACCUAGAUGGAUCUUGCGUGUGCGUAGGAAAAUUUUGAAAUUACUGCGUUCCCCAACAUUGGCAUCCGAGCCAGGUCUAUGCGUAGAUGUUAUAAGCACGAGUAGAACACAAAGGAGUUGUGGGCGUGGGUAUAUACAUAUUGCUUGCUGUCACUAGUUGAUUCUUGAUUCAGCGGUAUUGUUGGAUGAAGCGGCUCAGACCGACAUUACCCGUACGUUUAUGCGAGACUGGUUCUACCGACGUGCUUCGCACACAAGUGGCUGGUGGGUGUCAGUUUCUCCAACUUUAGUUGAACCGGAUUCAAUGAACAGGGUUCUCUCUGAAGAUCAAAAAGCAAUCACUAUACCGCAUUGUGGUUUUUGAUGCGUAGGUAACAACGGUUCUUGCUCAGCCCGUAGCAGCCACGUAAAACUUGCAACAACAAAGUAGAGGACGUCUAAGUUGUUUUUGCAGGGCAUGUUGUGAUGUGAUAUGGUCAAGACAUGAUGCUAAAUUUUAUUGUAUGAGAUGAUGAUGUUUUGUAACAGAGUUAUCGGCAACUAGCAGGAGCCAUAUGGUUGUCACUUUAUUGUAUGAAAUGCAAUCGCCAUGUAAUUGCUUUACUUUAUCACUAAGCGGUAGCGAUAGUCGUAGAAGCAAUAGUUGGCGAGGCGACAGCGAUGCUUCGAUGGAGAUCUAGGUGUCAAGCCGGUGACGAUGGUGAUCAUGACGGUGCUUUGGAGAUGGAGAUCAAAGGCAGAAGAUGAUCAUGGCCAUGUCAUAUCACUUAUAUUGAUUGCAUGUGAUGUUUAUCCUUUAUGCAUCUUAUUUUGCUUAGUUCGACGGUAGCAUUAUAAGAUGAUCUCUCACUAAAUUUCAAGGUAUAAGUGUUCUCCCUGAGUAUGCACCAUUGCUACAGUUCAUCAUGCCGAGACACCACGUGAUGAUCGGGUGUGAUAAGCUCUACGUUCACAUACAACAGGUGCAAGCCAAUUUUGCACAAGCAGAAUACUCGGGUUAAACUUGACGAGCCUAGCGUAUGCAGAUAUGGCCUCAGAACACUUAGACCAAAAUGACGAGCGUGAAUCAUAUAGUAGAUAUGAUCAACAUAGUGAUGUUCACCAUUGAAAACUACUCCAUCUCACGUGAUGAUUGGACAUGGUUUAGUUGAUAUGGAUCAUGUGAUCACUUAGAUGAUUAGAGGGAUGUCUAUCUAAGUGGGAGUUCUUAAGUAAUAUGAUUAAUUGAACUUUAAUUUAUCAUGAACUUAGUACCUGAUAGUAUUUUGCAUGCCUAUGUUGUUGUAGAUAGAUGGCCCGUGCUGUUGUUUCGAUGAAUUUUAAUGCGUUCCUAGAGAAAGCUAAGUUGAAAGAUGAUGGUAGCAAUUACACGGACUGGGUCCAUAACUUGAGAAUUAUCCUCAUUGCUGCAUAGAAGAAUUACGUCCUGGAAGCACCGCUAGGUGACAAACCCGUUGCAAGAGCAACACCAGAUGUUAUGAACGUUUGGCAGAGCAAAGCUGAUGACUACUCGAUAGUUUAGUGUACCAUGCUUUACGGCUUAGAACCGGGACUUCAAUGACGUUUUGAACGUCAUGGAGCAUAUGAGAUGUUCCAGGAGUUGAAGUUAAUAUUUCAAGCGAAUGCCCGGAUUGAGAGAUAUGAAGUCUCCAAUAAGUUCUACAGCUGCAAAAUGGAGGAGAAUAGUUCUGUCAGUGAACAUAUACUCAGAAUGUCUGGGUACCACAACCACUUAACUCACCUGGGAGUUAAUCUUCCUGAUGAUAGUGUCAUUGACAAAGUUCUUCAAUCACUGCCACCAAGCGACAAGAGCUGUGUGAUGAACUAUAAUAUGCAAGGGAUGGAUAAGACAAUUCCCGAGCUCUUCGCAAUGCUAAAGGCUGCGGAGGUAGAAAUCAAGAAGGAGCAUCAAGUGUUGAUGGUCAACAAGACCACCAGUUUCGAGAAAAAGGGUAAAGGGAAGAAGUGGAACUUCAAAAAGAACAACAAGCAAGUUGCUACUUGAUGACCCACAAGUAUAGGGGAUCUAUCGUAGUCCUUUCGAUAAGUAAGAGUGUCGAACGCAACGAGGAGCAGAAGGAAAUGAUAAGCGGUUUUUAGCAAGGUAUUCUUUGCAAGUACUGAAAUAAGUGGUAACAGAUAGUUUUGUGAUAAGAUAAUCUGUGACGAGCAACAAGUAACAAAAAUAAAUAAAGUGCAGCAAGGUGGCCCAAUCCUUUUUGUAGCAAAGGACAAGCUUGGACAAACUCUUAUAUAAGGAAAAGCGCUCCCGAGGACACAUGGGAAUAUCGUCAAGCUAGUUUUCAUCACGUUCAUAUGAUUCACGUUCGGUACUUUGAUAAUUUGAUAUGUGGGUGGACCGGUGCUUGGGUGCUGUUCUUACUUGAACAAGCACCCCACUUAUGAUUAACCUCUAUUGCAAGCAUCCGCAACUACAACAAAAGUAUUAAGGUAAACCUAACCAUAGCAUGAAACAUAUGGAUCCAAAUCAGCCCCUUACGAAGCAAUGCAUAAAUUAGGGUUUAAGCUUGUGUAACUCUAGCAACCCAUCAUCUACUUAUUACUUCCCAAUGCCUUCCUCUAGGCCCAAAUAAUGGUGAAGUGUUAUGUAAUAGACGUUCACAUAACACCACUAGAGGCUAGACAACAUACAUCUCAUCAAAAUAUCGAACGAAUACCAAAUUCACAUGACUACUAAUAGCAAGACUUCUCCCUUAUCCUCAGGAACAAACGUAACUACUCACAAAGCAUAUUCAUGUUCAUAAUAAGAGGGGUAAUAAUAUGCAUAAAGGAUCUGAACAUAUGAUCUUCCACCAAUUAAACCAACUAGCAUCAACUAUAAGGAGUAAUUAACACUACUAGCAACCUACUAGCACCAAUCCCAGACUUGGAGACAAGAAUUGGAUACAAGAGAUGAACUAGGGUUUUGAGAUGAGAUGGUGCUGAUGAAGAUGUUGAUGGAGAUUGCCCUCUCCCGAUGAGAGGAGCGUUGGUGAUGACGAUGGUGAUGAUUUCCCCCUCCGGGAGGGAAGUUUCCCCGGCAGAACAGCUCUGCCGGAGCUCUAGAUUGGAUCCGCCAAGGUUCCGCCUCGUGGCGGCGGAGUUUCAUCCUGAAAGGUUGCUUCUGAUUUUUUUCUCGACGAAAGACUUCAUAUAGCAGAAGAUGGUCAUCANNNNNNNNNNNNNNNNNNNNNNNNNNNNNNNNNNNNNNNNNNNNNNNNNNNNNNNNNNNNNNNNNNNNNNNNNNNNNNNNNNNNNNNNNNNNNNNNNNNNNNNNNNNNNNNNNNNNNNNNNNNNNNNNNNNNNNNNNNNNNNNNNNNNNNNNNNNNNNNNNNNNNNNNNNNNNNNNNNNNNNNNNNNNNNNNNNNNNNNNNNNNNNNNNNNNNNNNNNNNNNNNNNNNNNNNNNNNNNNNNNNNNNNNNNNNNNNNNNNNNNNNNNNNNNNNNNNNNNGGGGGGGGGGGGCGCCCCCACCCUCGUGGACAAGGUGUGGGCCCCCUGGUCUUCAUCUUUGGCGAGGAUUUUUCAUUAUUUAUUAUAAGGUAUUCCGUAGAGUUUCAGGACUUUUGGAGUUGUGCAGAAUAGGUCUCUAAUAUUUGCUCCUUUUCCAGCCCAGAAUUCCAGCUGCCGGCAUUCUCCCUCCUUAUGUAAACCUUGUAAAAUAAGAGAGAAUAGCCAUAAGUAUUGUGACAUAAUGUGAGAUAACAGCCCAUAAUGCAAUAAAUAUAGAUAUAAAAGCAUGAUGGAAAUGGACGUAUCAACUCCCCCAAGCUUAGACCUCGCUUGUCCUCAAGCGGAAGCCGAUAACAAUAAAUAUGUCCCCAUGUUUAGAGGUAGAGGUGUCGAUAAAAAUAAAAUACAGACAUGAAGGCAUCAUGAUUAUUCUCAUAACAGCAACAUAUAUAAAUAUUUUCAUAUGAUUACUUAUGUUCAAGUGAUGACCUAUUCACGAUGCAAAAGUAUGAAUCAGAAACCUUAUUGAGAACCAACAAACUAUAACCUCAAUCAUUGAAGCAAUUGCAAUUUAUCAUAACAUCAGAAAAGAGUCUAUAUCAGAGCUAAAAAGCAAGUCCACAUACUCAACUAUCAUCUAGUCCUUCAUAAUUGCUAACACUCACACAAUACUUGUGGUUACGGAGUUUUAAUCGGAUACAGAGAAAGAUAGGGACUUAUAGUUUCGCCCCACAACAUUUUACCUCGAGGGUAAUGUCAACAAUAAUAACUCAUGCCCCCCUACAUCCAAUUAGAUAUAUCUAUCAAGAUCUUUCCAACAUGCUAGGCUUGCCAAAGGAUAAAAUGUAAAAAGGAAAGGUGAAGAUCACCAUGACUCUUGCAUAAGGUAGAAGAUAAUAAUAAAAGAUAGGCCCUUCGCAGAGGGAAGCAGAGGUUGCCAUGCACUUUUAUGGUUGGAUGCACAAAAUCUUAAUGCGAAAGAGCGUCACUUUAUAUUGCCCCUUGUGAUAUGAACCUUUAUUAUGCAGUCCGUCGCUUUUAUUACUCCCACAUCACAAGAUUGUAUAAAGCUUAUUUCUCCUACACUAAUAAUACAUAUUUAGAGCAAUUUUUAUUGCUUUGCACCGAUGACAACUUACUUGAAGGAUCUUAUUCAAUCCAUAGGUAGAUAUGGUGGACUCUCAUGGCAAAACUGGUUUAAGGGUAUUUGGAAGCACAAGUAGUAUCUCUACUUGGUGCUAAGAAUUUGGCUAGCAUGAAGGGGAAAGGCAAGCUCAACAUGUUGGAUGAUCCAUGACAACAUACUUUAUCUCAGAUAUAAGGAAACAUAACCCAUUACGUUGUCUUCCUUGUCCAACAUCGACUCUUUAGCAUGUCAUAUUUUGAUGAGUGCUCCCAAUCAUAAAAGAUGUCAAUAAUAGUAUAUUUAUAUGUGAAACCUCUCUUUCCUUAUUACUUCCUAUUAAUUGCAACGAUGACCAAAGCUAUGUCUGCAACUCCCAACAACUUUUAAUCGUCACACUCUUUCUAUGCGAAGUCAUUACUAUCAAUAAGAUCAAUAUGAACUUUUGUUCCUUCUUAUUCUUUUUCUCUUUUCUUUUAUUCACCCAAGAUCAUAGCAAGAAAAUCAAGCCCUUGACUCAACACUAAUCUUUAUUAUAUAGCUCACGAACUCAAUUACAUAGAGAGAUCAUAAGGCAAAACUCAAAACUAGAUCAUGCCAUAAACUUUAUUCUACUAGAUCAAAAUACUACUAAUAGGAUCGAACUAAGGAAAACGGUAAAGAUUAGAGUUGUGAUUGUGAUACGAUACUGGGGCACCUCCCCCAAGCUUGGCGAUUGCCAAGGGGAGUGCCCAUACCCAUGUUAUUAUGUCUCCUUCUUUGUUGUUGGUGAAAUAUUCUUGGUGAUGAUUCCUCUCAGGAUACGAUUCUCCUCCUCGAGCUUGUUGACUUGCUGCUUGAGGUCCAUUGUUUCCUUACGAAGCUUUCCUGUGACGGCUAAAGCUCCUUGCACCCAAGGGUGUUUCAUAGCUGCGGGAGAACAAGUGACACUCCUCUUCAUAUUUUCAUAAGAAAGAAAUCUAACAUUGGAAGGGAUAACCGAGUUUGGAAUAGCUGAGCUCUGUAGUUCCCCCAUCGUGAACCCAUCUCGGAAGCGAGAGGUGACUUCUUGAUCCUCCAUGGCAUCUACCCUCAUUAAGUCAGCCUCCAUCUCUUCCUCCAUUGCUGGCCCAAAGUGGUCAGGGUCGCUGUUUGCCCUUGGUUUCGGUGCCGGAUUAGAUACCCGGCUCUCCCAGGCUGACUCUUGAGAAGACAUCUUGCUCUAAUCUGCAACAGCAAUAGCUCGAAACAAAACAGAGGAUAUUUGCGUGAUACGGGAGUCAAAACCUUUGGGAGAAUAUAUAGUGAAUUUUUACCGACCAAAAUACGUAUCGUGCAAGAAAACGGAGUCCGGAAGGCACACGAGGUGCUCACGAGGUAGGGGGGCACGCCCAGGGGGUAGGGCGCGCCCUCCACCCUCGUGGGGCCCUCGUGUCCUUCCCGGACUUCUACUUAAUUUUCUAUUUUUCUAAAUAUUCCAAAACGGAGAAAUAUUUCCUUAAAAACUGUUUUGGAAUCAGUUUACUUACCGUACCACAUACCUAUUCCUUUUCGGAGUCUGAAACGUUCUGGAAAGUGUCCCUUAUGUAUUCCUCCGGGGUUACGGUUUCAAUAAUAUUGGUUUCAACAUUUAUGGGAUUACCUGAGAUAUAAUGUUUGAUUCUUUGACCGUUUACCACCUUCGGAUUUGUGCCUUCGAAGUUGUUGAUUUUUAUGGCAUCAGAAUGAUAGACCUCCUCGAUAACAUAGGGGCCUUCCCAUUUAGAGAGAAGUUUACCUGCAAAGAAAAUCUUAAACGAGAGUUGUAUAGCAAUACAUAAUCACCUACAUUAAACUCACACUUUUGUAUCCUUUUGUCAUGCCAUCUUUUAACCUUUUCUUUAAACAACUUGGCAUUUUCAUAAGCUUGGGUUCUCCAUUCAUCAAGAGAGCUAAUAUCAAAUAACCUCUUUUCACCGGCAAGUUUGAAAUCAUAAUUGAGCUCUUUAAUAGCCCAAUAUGCCUUAUGUUCUAGUUCGAGAGGUAAGUGACAUGCUUUUCCAUAUACCAUUUUAUACGGAGACAUACACAUAGGAUUUUUAUAUGCAGUUCUAUAGGCCCAUAAUGCAUCAUCAAGUUUCUCGGACCAAUUCUUUCUAGACCUAUUGAUAGUCUUUUGCAAAAUUAUUUUGAGUUCUCUAUUACUCAAUUCUACUUGACCACUAGACUGUGGGUGAUACGGAGAUGCAAUUCUAUGAUUGACGUCAUAUUUAGCAAGCAUUUUACGGAAAGCACCAUGAAUAAAAUCUGAACCACAUCAGUCAUUAAAUAUCUAGGGACUCCAAACCUCGAAAAAUAAAUUCUUUAAGCAUUUUAAUAGAAGUGUUAUGAUCAGCACUACUAGUUGGAAUAGCUUCUACCCACUUAGUAACGUAAUCAACAGCAACUAAAAUAUGCGUAUAUCCAUUAGAGGCAGGAAAAGGUCCCAUAUAAUCAAAGCCCCAAACAUCGAACAGUUCAAUAACAAGUGAAUAAUCAUAGGCAUUUCUUGACGUAUACUAACAUUACCAAUUCUUUGACAUUCAUCACAAGAUAGGACAAACUUACGGGCAUCCUUGAAGAGAGUAGGCCAAUAAAAACCGGAUUGCAAUACCUUAUGUGCAGUUCUAUCUCCCACGUGGUGUCCUCCAUAAGUUUCGGAGUGGCACUUGCGUAGGAUCUAUUCCUGUUCAUGCUCAGGUACACAACAUCUAAUAACACCAUCUACUCCUUCUUUAUAAAGAUGUGGGUCAUCCCAAAAGUAAUGUCUCAAAUCAUAGAAGAACUUUUUCUUUUGUUGGUAUGUGAAGCUAGGUGGUAUAAAUUUAGCAACUAUGUAAUUAGCAUAAUCAGCAUACCAAGGGGUACUACGAGAAGUACUUAUGACAUUUAAUUGUUCAUCAGGAAAGCUAUCAUCAAUAGGUAGUGGGUCAUCAAGAACAUUCUCUAACCUAGAUAAGUUGUCUGCAACGGGGUUCUCAGCUCCUUUUCUAUCAACAAUAUGCAAAUCAAAUUCUUGUAGCAAGAGAACCCAUCUAAUAAGUCUAGGUUUAGCAUCUUUCUUAUCCAUAAGAUAUUUAAUAGCAACAUGAUCAGUGUGGAUAGUUAGUUUAGAAUCAACAAUAUAAGUUUUGAACUUAUCACAAGCAAAUACAACUGCUAAAAGUUCUUUUUCAGUAGUAGCAUAAUUUCUUUGAGCAUUGUCUAGAGUCUUACUAGCAUAAUGGAUAACAAUUAAUUUCUUAUCAACUCUUUGCCCUAGAACAGCACCUACAACAUAAUUGCUAGCAUCACACAUAAUUUCAAAGGGUAAAUUCCAAUCAGGUGGCUGAACAAUAGGUGCAGAGACUAAUGCUUUCUUAAGUAUUUCAAAUGCUUCUACGCAAUCAUCAUCAAAGACAAAUGGUAUAUCUUUUUGUAAUAAAUUAGUCAGAGGCCGAGAAUUUUUUGAGAAGUCCUUAAUGAACCUCCUAUAAAAUCCGGCGUGACCAAGGAAACUUCUUAUGCCUUUGAUGUCCUUGGGACAUGGCAUCUUUUCAAUAGCAUCAACCUUGGAUUUAUCAACUUCAAUACCUCUUUCGGAAACUUUAUGCCCCAAGACAAUACCUUCAUUAACCAUAAAGUGGCACUUUUCCCUAUUCAAGACAAUAUUAGUUUCUUCACAUCUCUGCAAAAGUCGAUCAAGAUUGCUCAAGUAAUCAUCAAAAUAAGAUCCAUAGACGGAAAAGUUGUCCAUGAAAACCUCACAAAUCUUUUGACAAAAGUCAGAGAAUAUAGCCAUCAUGCAUCUUUGAAAGGUAGCAGGUGCAUUACAUAAACCAAAAGGCAUACGUCUAUAAGAAAAAGUACCAAAAGGGCAUGUAAAAGUAGUCUUUGAUUGAUCUUUAGCCGACACAGGUAUUUGAGAGAAACCAGAAUAAGCAUCUAGAAAGCAGUAAUGUGUAUGUUUGCAUAAUCUUUCUAGCAUUUGAUCGAUAAAAGGUAAGGGGUAAUGAUCUUUCUUAGUAGCCUUAUUUAAUUUGCGGAAAUCAAUUACCAUCCUAUAACCUGUAAUAAUUCUUUGUGGAAUCAAUCCAUCUUUAUCAUUAGGAACAACAGUAAUACCUCCCUUCUUAGGGACACAAUGAACAUGACUUACCCACUGACUAUCAACAACGGGAUAAAUUAUACCUGCCUCCAGAAGCUUUAGUAUUUAUUUUCUUACCACUUCUUUCAUUUUAGGAUUCAGACGUCGUUGAGGAUCAUGAACUGGUUUGACAUCUGCUUCCAAAUUUAUUUUAUGUUGACAUAGAGUGGGACUAAUGCCCUUAAGAUAAUCAAGAGUAUAUCCAAUAGCAGCACGAUGCUUCUUCAGAGUUUUCAAUAAUCUUUCUUCUUCAUGCUCUGAAAGGUUAGCACUAAUAGUAACAGGAUAUAUCUUCUUUUCAUCAAGAUAAGCAUAUUUAAGAUUAUCAGGCAACGGUUUAAGCUCAAACACGGGAUCACCCUUAGGUGGAGGGGGAUCCCCUCAGAUUUCAAUAGGCAAAUUGUGUUUCAGAAUAGGUUCCUAUUUAAAGAAUACUUCAUCUAUUUCCCUUCUUUCAUUCAUAAACAUAUCAUUCUCAUGGUCUAGCAAAUAUUGUUCGAAAGGAUCACUAGGAGGUACGGAAAUAGAAUCAAGACCAAUAAUCUCAUCCUUACUAGGCAAUUCUUCUUCACGGUGUUGUUUACUAAAUUUAGAGAAAUUAAAUUCAUGAGUCAUAUCAUCCAAGCCAAUAGUAACAACAUUCUUUUCGCAGUCUAUCUUAGCAUUAACAGUGUUCAAGAAGGGUCUACCAAAUAUAAUGGGACAAAAGCUAUCUUGUGGGGAACUAAGAACAAGAAAACCAGCAGGAUAUUUAGUUUUCCCGCACAAGACUUCAACAUCUCUAACAAUUCCCACUGCUGAAAUAGUAUCUCUAUUAGCAAGUAUAAUUGUGACAUCAAUAUCUUCUAACUCAGCAGGUGCAAUUUCACGCUUGAUUUUUUUAUACAAGUCAUAAGGUAUAACACUAGCACUAGCACCCAUAUCACAUAAGCCAUGAUAACAAUGUUCUCCUAUUUUAAUAGAAAUAACAGGCACGCCUACCACAGGUCUAUGUUUAUAUUUAGCACGAGGUUUAGCAAUUCUAGCAGUUUCACCGUAGAACUAAAUAACAUGCCCAUCAAUAUUAUUAGACAAGAGAUCUUUAACAAUAGCAAUAUUAGGUUCUACUUUAAAUUUCUCAGGAGGUGUAUAUGUUUUAAUAUUGCUUUUACGAACCACAGUUGAAGCUUUAGCAUGAUCCUUUAUCCUAACAGGGAAAGGCGGUUUCUCAACAUAACAAGUAGGAACAAUAGGAUCAUUAUAAGUGACAGUCUUUUCUUCAACUUUAAUUGGUGCAGCUACUUUUACUUCUAUGGGAGGAUGAUAUUUAAACCACUUCUCCUUAGGGAGAUCAACAUAAGUAGCAAAAGAUUCACAGAAAGAAGCUACUAUCUCAGAAUCAAGUCCAUAUUUAGUGCUAAACUUACAGAAAAUAUCGGUAUCCAUAAAUGAUUUAACACAAUCAAACUUAGGUGUCAUACCUGACUCCUUACCUUUCUCGAGAUCCCAAUCUUGAGAGUUGCAUUUAAUUGUAUCCAAUAAAUCCCAUCUAAAUCCAAUAGUCUUCAUCAUAAAAGAGCCAGCACAAGAAGUAUCGAGCAUGGUGCGAUUAUUUUCAGAAAGCCGAGCAUAAUUUUUUUGAAGAAUUGUUUCUCUUGGGAGCUCAUGAUUGGGGCAUGAAUAUAACAUUGAUUUAAGCCUCCCCCAAGCUUGAGCGAUGCUUUCUCCUUCGCAAGGCCAAAAAUUAUAUAUAUAAUUGCGGUCACGAUAAACAAGAUGCAUAGGGUAAUAAUUUUGAUGAAAUUCCAAUUUCAAUCUUCUAUAGUUCCAUGAUCUCGUAUCAUCACAUAGCCUAUACCAUGUCAAUGCGUCUCCCUUCAAAGAUAAGGGGAAGACCUUCUUCUUAGCAACAUCAUCGGGUAUACCUGCAAGCUUAAAUAAUCCACAAACUUCAUCCACAUAUAUUAGGUGUUCAUCAGGAUGCUUUGUUCCAUCUCCUGUAAAAGGAUUAGCUAGCAGUUUUUCUAUCAUACCCGAAGGAUACUCAUAAGGAAUUUCAUUUUCAAUAGGUUCAGUAGGUUGAGGAGCAACUCUUUGCUCUACUGGUCGUGGUGAAGAUACCCCGAACAAGCCCCUCAGAGGAUUACUUUCCAUAGUAACAAGUGACAGUAAAUUUCAGCACACUAUAUAAAUUUUUCCUUACCAAAUUCCACCUACCAAAGGCGCUUCACUCCCCGGCAACGGUGCCAGAAAAGAGUCUUGAUGACCCACAAGUAUAGGGGAUCUAUCGUAGUCCUUUCGAUAAGUAAGAGUGUUGAGCCCAACGAGGAGCAGAAGGAAAUGAUAAGCGGUUUUCAGCAAGGUAUUCUCUGCAAGUACUGAAAUAAGUGGUAACAGAUAGUUUUGUGAUAAGAUAAUUUGUGAUGAGCAACAAGUAACAAAAGUAAAUAAAGUGCAGCAAGGUGGCCCAAUCCUUUUUGUAGCAAAGGAAAAGCCUGGACAAACUCUUAUAUAAGGAAAAGCGCUCCUGAGGACACAUGGGAAUAUCAUCAAGCUAGUUUUCAUCACGUUCAUAUGAUUCGUGUUUGGUACUUUGAUAAUUUGACAUGUGGGUGGACCGGUGCUUGGGUGCUGUUCUGACUUGAACAAGCAUCCCACUUAUGAUUAACCUCUAUUGCAAGUAUCCGCAACUACAACAAAAGUAUUAAGGUAAACCUAACCAUAGCAUAAAACAUAUGGAUCCAAAUCAGCCCCUUACGAAGCAACGCAUAAAUUAGGGUUUAAGCGUCUGUCACUCUAGCAACCCAUCAUCUACUUAUUACUUCCCAAUGCCUUCCUCUAGGCCCAAAUAAUGGUGAAGUGUUAUGUAGUCGACGUUCACAUAACACCACUAGAGGCUAGACAACAUACAUCUCAUCAAAAUAUCGAACGAAUACCAAAUUCACAUGACUACUAAUAGCAAGACUUCUCCCUUGUCCUUAGGAACAAACGUAACUACUCACAAAGCAUAUUCAUGUUCAUAAUCAGAGGGGUAAUAAUAUGCAUAAAGGAUCUGAACAUAUGAUCUUCCACCAAUUAAACCAACUAGCAUCUACUACAAGGAGUAAUUAACACUACUAGCAACCUACUAGCACCAAUCCCGGACUUGGAGACAAGAAUUGGAUACAAGAGAUGAACUAGGGUUUUGAGAUGAGAUGGUGCUGAUGAAGAUGUUGAUGGGGAUUGCCCUCUCCCGAUGAGAGGAGCGUUGGUGAUGACGAUGGCGAUGAUUUCCCCCUCCGUGAGGGAAGUUUCCCUGGCAGAACAGCUCUGUCGGAGCUCUAGAUUGGAUCCGCCAAGGUUCCGCCUCGUGGCAGCGGAGUUUCGUCCCGAAAGGUUGCUUCUGAUUUUUUUCUCGAUGAAAGACUUCAUAUAGCAGAAGAUGGUCAUCAGAGAUCCACCAGGGGGCCCACGAGGUAGGGGGCGCGCCCUAGGGGGGGGGGCGCCCCACCCUCGUGGACAAGGUGUGCGCCCCCUGGUCUUCAUCUUUGGCGAGGAUUUUUCAUUAUUUAUUAUAAGGUAUUCCGUAGAGUUUUAGGACUUUUGGAGUUGUGCAGAAUAGGUCUCUAAUAUUUGCUCCUUUUCCAGCCCAGAAUUCCAGCUGCCGGCAUUCUCCCUCCUUAUGUAAACCUUGUAAAAUAAGAGAGAAUAGCCAUAAGUAUUGUGACAUAAUGUGAAAUAACAGCCCAUAAUGCAAUAAAUAUCGAUAUAAAAGCAUGAUGCAAAAUGGACGUAUCACUGCUCAAGUGAAGAAGCCCAAGUCUGGACCUAAGCCUGAGACUGAGUGCUUCUACUGCAAAGGGACUGGUCACUGGAAGCGGAACUGCCCCAAGUAUUUGGUGGAGAAGAAGGAUGGCAAAGUAAAAGUAUAUUUGAUAUACAUGUUAUUGAUGUGUACCUUGCUAAUGCUCACAGUAGAGCCUGUGUAUUUGAUACUGGUUCUGUUGCUAAUAUUUGCAACUCGAAACAGGGGCUACAGAUUAAGCGAAGAUUAGCUAAGGACGAGGUGACGAUGUGCGUGGGAAAUGGUUCCAAAGUCGAUGUGAUCGCCGUCGGCACGCUACCUCUACAUCUACCUUCGGGAUUAGUUUUAGACCUAAAUAAUUUUUAUUUGGUGCCAGCGUUGAGCAUGAACAUUAUAUCUGGAUCUUGUUUGAUGCGAGACGGUUAUUCAUUUAAAUCAGAGAAUAAUGGUUGUUCUAUUUAUACGAGUAAUACCUUUUAUGGUCAUGCACCCUUGAUGAGUGGUCUAUUUUUACUAAAUCUUGAUAGUAGUGAUAGAGAUGUUCAUAGUAUUGAAGCCAAAAGAUAUAAGUUUAAUAAUGAUAGUGCAACUUAUUUGUGGCACUGCCGUUUAGGUCAUAUUGGUGUAAAGCGCAUGAAGAAACUCCAUGCUGAUGGGCUUUUGGAAUCACUUGAUUAUGAAUCACUUGAUGCUUGCGAACCAUGCCUCAUGGGCAAGAUGACUAAGACUCUGUUCUCCGGAACAAUGGAGCGAGCAAUAGAAUUGCUGGAAAUAAUACAUACUGAUGUAUGCGGUCCGAUGAGUGUUGAUGCUCGUGGUGGCUAUCGUUAUUUUCUUACCUUCACACAUGAUUUGAGCAGAUAUGGGUAUAUCUACUUGAUGAAACAUAAGUCUGAAACAUUUGAAAAGUUCAAAGAAUUUCGGAGUGAAGUGGAAAAUCAUUGUAACAAGAAAAUUAAGUUUCUACGAUCUGACCGUGUAGGUGAUUAUUUGAGUUCUGAGUUUGGUCUUCACUUGAAACAAUGUGGAAUAGUUUCGCAACUCACGCCACCUGGAACACCAUAGCAUAAUGGUGUGUACGAAUGUCGUAACCACACUUUAUUGGAUAUGGUGCGAUCUAUGAUGUCUCUUACUGAUUUACCGCUAUCAUUUUGAUUUAGAGAUGACUGCAUGCACGUUAAAUAGGGCACCGUCGAAAUCCAUUGAGAUGACACCUUAUGAACUGUGGUUUGCCAAGAAACCCAAGUUGUCGUUUCUUAAAGUUUGGGGCUGCGAUGCUUAUGUGAAAAAGCUUCAACCUGAUAAGCUCGAACCCAAAUCAGAGAAAUGUGUCUUCAUAGGAUACCCAAAGGAGACUGUUGGGUACACCUUCUAUCACAGAUCCGAAGGCAAGAUAUUCGUUGCUAAGAAUGGAUCCUUUCUAGAGAAGGAGUUUCUCUCGAAAGAAGUGAGUGGGAGGAAAGUAGAACUUGAUGAGGUAACUAUACCUGCUCCCUUAUUGGAAAGUAGUUCAUCAUAGAAAUUAGUUCCAGCGAUUCCUACACCAGUAAGUGAGGAAGCUAAUGAUGAUGAUCAUAAAACUUCUGAUCAAUUUACUACCGGACCUCGUAGGUCAACCAGAGUAAGAUCCGCACUAGAGUGGUACGGUAAUCCUGUUCUGGAGGUCAUGUUACUUGACCAUGAAGAGCCUACGAACUAUGAGGAAGCGAUGAUGAGCCCAGAUUCCGCAAAAUGGCUUGAUGCCAUGAAAUCUGAGAUGGGAUCCAUGUAUGAGAAGAAAGUGUGGACUUUGGUUGACUUGCCCAAUGAUCGGCAAGCCAUAGAGAAUAAAUGGAUCUUCGAGAAGAAGACUGACGCUGACGGUAAUGUUACUGUCUACAAAGCUCGACUUGUUGCAAAAGGUUUUCGACAAGUUCAAGGAGUUGACUACGAUGAGACCUUCUCACCCGUAGUGAUGCUUAAGUCUGUCUGAAUCAUGUUAGCAAUUGCCGCAUUUUAUGAUUAUGAAAUUUGGCAAAUGGAUGUCAAAACUGCAUUCCUUAAUGGAUAUCUUAAAGAAGAGUUGUAUAUGAUGCAACCAGAAGGUUUUGUCGAUCCAAAAGUUGCUAACAAAGUGUGCAAGCUCUAGCGAUCCAUUUAUGGACUAGUGCAAGCCUCUCGGAGUUGGAAUAUACGCUUUGAUAGUGUGAUCAAAGCAUAUGGUUUUAUAAAGACUUUUGGAGAAGCCUGUAUUUACAAGAAAGUGAGUGGGAGCUCUGUAGCAUUUUUGAUAUUAUAUGUGGAUGACAUAUUGCUGAUCAGAAAUGAUACUGAAUUUCUGAAUAGCAUAAAAUGAUACUUGAAUAAGAAUUUUUCAAUGAAAGAUCUCGGUGAAGCUACUUAUAUAUUGGGCAUCAAGAUCUGUAGAGAUAGAUCAAGACGCUUAAUUGGACUUUCACAAAGCACAUACCUUGAUAAAGUUCUGAAGAAGUUCAAAAUGGAUCAAGCAAAGAAAGGGUUCUUGCCUAUGUUACAAGGUGUGAAGUUGAGUUAGACUCAAUGCCCAACCACUGCAGAAGAUAGAGAGAAAAUGAAAGUCAUUCCCUAUGCUUCAGCCAUAGGUUCUAUCAUGUAUGCAAUGCUGUGUACCAGACCUGAGGUUUGCCUUGCUAUUAGUUUAGUAGGGAGGUACCAAAGUAAUCCAGGAGUGGAUCACUGGACAGCAGUCAAGAACAUCCUAAAAUACCUGAAAAGGACUAAGGAUAUGUUUCUCGUUUAUGGAGGUGACAAAGAGCUCGUCGUAAACGGUUACGUCAAUCCAAGCUUUGACACUGAUCCGGAUGACUCUAAGUCACAAAUCGGAUACGUAUUUUUAUUAAAUGGUGGAGCUUCAGUUGGUGCAGUUCCAAGCAGAGCGUCGUGGCGGGAUCUACGUGUGAAGCGGAGUACAUAGCUGCUUCGGAAGCAGCAAAUGAGGGAGUCUGGAUGAAGGAGUUCAUAUCCGAUCUAGGUGUCAUACCUAGUGCAUCAGGUCCAAUGAAAAUCUUUUGUGACAAUACCGGUGCAAUUGCCUUGGCAAAGGAAUCCAGAUUUCACAAGAGAACCAAGCACAUCAAAAGACGCUUCAAUUCCAUCCGCGAUCAAGUCAAGGAGGGAGACAUAGAUGUUUGCAAGAUACCUACGGAUCUGAAUGUUGUAGACCAGUUGAAUAAGCCUCUCUCACGAGCAAAACAUGAUCAUCACCAAGACUCCAUGGAUGUUAAAAUCAUUACAAUGUAAUCUAGAUUAUUGACUCUAGUGCAAGUGGGAGACUGAAGGAAAUAUGCCCUAGAGGCAAUAAUAAAGCCUUGCAAGCAAUGUGACUAAUGAGUUAGUUACGGGAUGUUACAUUACAGAAUGAGUAAAGAGACUUGACGGUAACUUGAUUGAACUAGGUAUUGAGAUACCGACGAUUGAAUCUCGGGAAAGUAACAUACCGAUGACAAAGGGAACAACGUAUGUUGUUAUGCGGUUUGACCGAUAACACGGUUUCGAGGGGGGGGGGGGAGCUGGAACCGGCACGAGCACCGGUCGUGGCCACGGGACACUUCUCCGCCUUCCCUUUCCCCUGGUCGAUUUAUAGCCGCGGGUGCCUUGUUUGCCCCUGUUGCUACAUCCGGCCGGUUCCUGCCAUGAGCGGUGGAGGUUUUCCCCUCCCGCGUGGCUGCUGUUGCCGCCGCUCCUCGUUCCUGGUUGCCUCCUCUGUUCCUCCCGGUUUCGCUUCAUUUUCCAUGGUGAGACGGCGAUGGGGACUGCACGGCCGGGUGGCUGCUACCUCUUGAGCACUGCGGUUGGUUUUCCCUUGAAGAGGAAAGGGUGAUGCAGCAAAGCAGUGCAAGUAUUUCCCUCAGUUUUUGAGAACCAAGGUAUCAAUCCAGUAGGAGACUACAUGCAAGUCCCUCGUAGUUACACAAACAAAUAAGAACCUCACAACCAACGUGAUAAAGGGGUUGUCAAUCCCUUCACGGUCACUUACGAGAGUGAGAUCUGAUAGAGAUAAUAAUGAUAAGAUAAAUAUUUUUGGUAUUUUUAUGAUAUAGAUUGAAAGUAAAGAUUGCAAAGUAAACGGUGCCAGAAAAUAACUUGUUUACGGGAUAUUGAUAUAAUGGAGAAUAGACCCCGGGGCCAUAGGUUUCACUAGUGGCUUCUCUCAAGAUAGCAUAAGUAUUACGGUGGGUGAACAAAUUACUGUCGAGCAAUUGAUAGAAACACGAAUAAUUAUGAAAAUAUCUAGGCAUGAUCAUGUAUAUAGGCAUCACGUCCGUGACAAGUAGACUGACUCCUGCCUGCAUCUACUACUAUUACUCCACACAUCGACCGCUAUCCAACAUGAAUCUAGAGUAUAAAGUUCAUAAGAACAGAGUAACGCAUUAGGUAAGAUGACAUGAUGUAGAGGGAUAAACUCAAGCAAUAUGAUAUAAACCCCAUCUUUUUAUCCUUGGUGGCAACAAUACAAUACGUGUCGUUUCCCUUUCUGUCACUGGGAUCGAGCACCGCAAGAUUGAACCCAAAGCUAAGCACUUCUCCCAUUGCAAGAAAGAUCAAUCUAGUAGGCCAAACCAAACUGAUAAUUCGAAGAGACUUGCAAAGAUAACCAAUCAUACAUAAAAUAUUUCGGAGAAGAAUCAAAUAUUGUUCAUAGAUAGACUUGAUCAUAAACCCACAAUUCAUUGGACCUCGACAAACACACUGCAAAAAGAGUUAAAUCGAAUAGAUCUCCAAGAAGAUUGAGGAGAACUUUGUAUUGAGAUUCAAAGAGAGAGAAGAAGCCAUCUAGCUAAUAGCUAUGGACCUGAAGGUCUAAAGUGAACUACUCACACAUCAUCGGAGGGGCCAUGGAGUUGAUGUAGAGGCCCUCCGUGAUUGAUGCCCCCUCCGGCGGAGCUCCGAAAAAGGCCCCAAGAUGGGAUCUCUUGGGUACAGAAGGUUGUGGCGGUGGAAAUAGGGUUUCAUGGUUCUCCUGGAUGUUUUCGGGGUAUAUGAAUAUAUAUAUAUAUAUAUAUAUAUAUAUAUAUAUAUAGGAGGAAGAAGUAGGUUGGUGGAGCCACGAGGGGCCUAUGAGGGAGAGGGCUCGCCCAGGGGGGUAGGCGCACUCCCUGCCUCGUGGCCUCCUCGUUGGUUGCUUGACGUCCACUUCAAGUCCUCUGGAUCACGUUUGUUCCAAAAAUAACUCUCCCGAAGGUUUUAUUCCGUUUGGAUUCUAUUUGAUAUUCCUUUUCUGCGAAACACUAAAAUAGGCAAAAAAACAGCAAUUUGCACUGGGCCUUGGGUUAGUAGGUUAGUCCCAAAAAUAAUAUAAAAGUGUAAAAUAAAGCCCAUUAACAUCCAAAACAGAUAAUAUAAUAGCAUGGAACAAUCAAAAAUUAUAGAUACGUUGGAGACGUAUCAAGCAUCACCAAGCUUAAUUCCUACUCGUCCUCGAGUAGGUAAAUGAUAAAAACAGAAUUUUUGAUGUGGAAUGCUACCUAGCAUAAUUCUCAAUGUAAUUCUCUUUAUUGUGGCAUGAAUAUUCAGAUCCGAAAGAUUCAAGACAAAAGUCUAAUAUUGACACAAAAAAUAAUAAUACUUCAAGCAUACUAACUAAGCAAUUAUGUCUUCUCAAAAUAACAUGGCAAAAGAAUGUUCAUCCCUACAAAAUCAUAUAGUUUGGUCAUGCUCCAUUUUCGUCACACAAGAAUGCUCUCAUCAUGCACAACCCCGACGACAAGCCAAGCAAUUGUUUCACACUUCAGUAAUCUCAAACUUUUUUGAACUUUCACGCAAUACAUGAGCGUGAGCCAUGGAUAUAGCACUAUGGGUGGAAUAGAAUAUGAUGAUGGGGUUUAUGUGGAGAAGACAAAAAUGGAGAAAGUCUCACAUCGACGCAGCUAAUCAAUGGGCUAGGGAUAUGCCCAUCAAUUGAUGUCAAUGCAAGGAGUAGGGAAUGCCAUGCAACGGAUGCACUAGAGCUAUAAAUGUAUGAAAGCUCAACAAAAGAAACUAAGUGGGUGUGCAUCCAACUUGCUUGCUCACGAAGACCUAGGGCAUUUGAGGAAGCCCAUUGUUGGAAUAUACAAGCCAAGUUCUAUAAUGAAAAAUUCCCACUAGUAUAUGAAAGUGAUAAAACAAGAGACUCUCUAUCAUAAAGAUCAUGGUGCUACUUUGAAGCACAAGUGUGGAAAAAAGGAUAGUAGCAUUGCUCCUUUUUAUUUCUUUUUUUCCUUUUUUGGCCUUUCUUUCUUUUUAUUUGGGACAAUGCUCUAUUAAUGAUGAUCAUCACACUUCUAUUUAUUUACAACUCAAUGAUUACAACUCGAUACUAGAACAAAGUAUGACUGUAUAUGAAUGCCUCCGGCGGUGUACCGGGAAGGGCAAUGAAUCAAGAAUGACAUGUAUGAAAAAUUAUGAACGGUGGCUUUGCCACAAGUACGAUGUCAACUACAUGAUCAUGCAAGGCAAUAUGACAAUGAUGAUGUGUGUCAUGAUAAAUGGAACGGUGGAAAGUUGCAUGGAAAUAUAUCUUGGAAUGGCUAUGGAAAUGCCAUAAUAGGUAGGUAUGGUGGCUGUUUGAGGAAGAUAUAAGGAGGUUUAUGUGUGACAGAGCGUAUCAUAUCACGGGGUUUGGAUGCACCGGCAAAGUUUGCACCAACUCUCAUGGUGAUAAAGAGCAAUGCACGGUACCGAAGAGGCUAGCAAUGAUGGAAGGGUGAGAGUGCGUAUAAUCCAUGGACUCAACAUUAGUCAUAAAGAACUCACAUACUUUUUGCAAAAAUCUACAAGUCAUCAAAAAUCAAGCACUAUGCGCAUGCUCCUAGGGGGAUAGAUUGGUAGGAAAAUACCAUCGCUCGUCCCCGACCGCCACUCAUAAGGAAGACAAUCAAAUAACAUCUCAUGUUUCAAAUUUGUUACACAACGGUCACCAUACGUGCAUGCUACGGGACUUGCAAACUUCAACACAAGUAUUUCUCAAAUUCACAACUACUCAACUAGCACACUCUAAUAUUACCACCUUUAUAUCUCAAAACAAUUAUCAAGUAUCAAACUUCUCCUAGUACUCAAUGCACUUUUUAUGAAAGUUUUUAUUAUACCGAUCUUGGAUGCCUAUCAUAUUAGGACUAAAUUCAUAACCAAAGAAAAUUACCAUCCUGUUCUAAAGGACUCUCAAAAUAAUAUAAUUGAAGCAUGACAGUUCAAUAAUUUCUAUAAAAUAGAACCACCGCCAUGCUCUAAAGGAUAUAAGUGAAGCACUAGAGCAAAUUAUCUAGCUCAAAAGAUAUAAGUGAAGCACAUAGAGUAUUCUAACAAAUUUCGAUUCAUGUGUGUCUCUCCCAAAGUGUGUGUACAUCAAGGAUGAUUGUGGUAAACUAAAAAGAAAAGACUCAAAUCAUACAAGACGCUCCAAGCAAAACACAAUUCAUGUGGUGAAUAAAAAUAUAGCCUCAAGUAAAGUUACCGAUAGAAGAAGACGAAAGAGGGGAUGCCUUCCGGGGCAUCCCCAAGCUUAGGCUUUUGGUUGUCCUUGAAUUUUACCUCGAGGUGCCUUGGGCAUCCCCAAGAUUAGGCUCUUGCCACUCCUUGUUCCAUAAUCCAUCAAAUAUUUACCCAAAACUUGAAAACUUCACAACACAAAACUUAAACAGAAAAUAUCAUAAGCUCCGUUAGUAAAAGAAAACAAACCACCACUUAAGGUACUGUAAUGAACUCAUUCUUAUUUGUAUUGGUGUUAAACCUACUGUAUUCCAACUUCUCUAUGGUUCAUACACUCAAAUACUAGCCAUAGAUUCAUCAAAAUAAGCAAAUAACACACAAAAACAGAAUCUGUAAAAAACAGAACAAUUUGUAGUAAUCUGUAGGUUUGGAAUACUUCUGGAACCCCAAAAAUUCUAAAAUAAAUUUCUGUACGUGAGGAAUUUAUCUGUUAAUCAUAUGCAAAAUAAUUAACUAAAUAGCACUCUCCAGUAAAAAAUGGCAUCUAAUCUCAUGAGCGCUAAAGUUUCUAUUUUUUUACAGCAAGAUCGCAAAGACCUUCCCCAAGUCUUAAAGGUUCUACUUGGCAUAAACACUAAUUAAAAGCAUAAAACCACAUCUAAAAAGAGGCUAGAUGAAUUAUUUAUUAAUAAACAUAAUGAAAAAGCAAGGAACAAAAAUAAAAUUGGGCUGCCUCCCAACAAGCGCUAUCGUUUAACGCCCCUAGCUAGGCAUAAAAGCAAGGAUAGAUCUAGGUAUUGCCAUCUUUGGUAUGCAAUCCAUAAGUGGCUCUCAUAAUAGAUUAAUAAGGUAAUUUAAUUUUCUUUCUAGGAAAGUGUUCCAUGCCCUUCCUUAAUGGAAAUUGGAAUCUAAUAUUCCCUACCUUCAUAUCAAUAAUUGCACCAAUCGUUCUAAGGAAAGGUCUACCAAGAAUAAUAGGACAUGUAGGAUUGCAAUCAAUAUCAAGAACAAUGAAAUCCAUGGGCACAUAAUUCCUAUUUUCAACAAUAAUAACAUCAUUAAUUCUUCCCAUAGGUUUCUUAAUAGUGUAAUCCGCAAGAUGCAAGUUUAAAGAACAAUCAUCAAAUUCACGGAAACCUAGCAAAUCACACAAGGUUUUUGGAAUCGUGGAAACACUAGCACCCAAAUCACACAACACAUAGCAUUCAUGAUAUUUAAUUUUAAUUUUAAUAGUAGGUUCCCACUCAUCAUAAAGUUUUCUAGGGAUAGAAACUUCCAAUUCAAGCUUUUCUUCAUAAGAUUGCAUUAAAGCAUCAACAAUAUGUUUAGUAAAAGCUUUAUUUUGACUAUAAGCAUGCGGAGAAUUUAACAUGGAUUGCAACAAGGAAAUACAAUCUAUUAAAGAACAAUUAUCAUAAUUAAAUUCCUUGAAAUCCAAGAUAGUGGGUUCAUUGCUAUGUAAAGUUUUGACCUCUCCCUUCCCACUUUUAUCAAUUUUUGCAUCAAUAUCUAAAAACUCCGAAUCAUUGGGACGCCUUCUAACUAAGUUGACUCAUCUCCAGUCCCAUGAUUAUCAAGAUUCAUAUUGCAAAACAAAGAUUUAAUAGGAGACACAUCAACAACUUUUAGAUCUUCAUCAUUAUUAUCAUGGAAACUAGAAGAACACGCUUUCACAAAGCAAUCUUUUUAGCACGCAUCCUAGCGGUUCUUUCUUUGCACGCAUCAAUGGAAAUUCUCGUAGCUUUGAGAGACUCAUUGAUAUCAUGCUUAGGUGGAAUAGAUCUAAGUUUCAAAGAAUCAACAUCAAGAGAAAUUCUAUCCAUGUUCCUAGCCAACUCAUCAAUCUUAGACAAUUUUUCUACAAUCAAAGCAUUGAAACUCUUUUGCAAAAUAAUAAAUUCUUUAAUAUUAGAUUCAAAAUCAGAGGGAAUCUUAUUAUAAUUUCCAUAAGAAUUGUUGUAGGAAUUACCAUAAUUAUUAGAGGAAUUACUAGGAAACGGCCUAGGAUUAAAAUUACCUCUAUAUGCGUUAUUACCAAAGUUGUUCCUACCAACAAAAUUCACCAUAGAUUCAUUAUCAUUCUCAAUCAAAGUAGACGAAGGCAUAUCAUUAGGAUCAGAAGAAACACUCUUAUUAGCAAACAAUUUCAUAAGUUCGUCCAUCUUUCCUCUCAAAACAUUAAUUUCUUCUAUUGCAUGAACCUUUUUACUAGUAGAUCUUUUAGUGUGCCAUUGAGAAUAAUUAACCAUAAUAUUAUCUAGGAGUUUAGUAGCUUCUCCUAAAGUGAUUUCCAUAAAAGUGCCUCAUGCGGCCGAAUCUAAAAGAUUUCUAGAAGCAAAAUUCAAUCCAGCAUAAUUUUUUUGUAUAAUUAUCCAAAGAUUCAAACCGUGUGUAGGGUAAUUACGUAUCAUUAAUUUCAUCCUCUCCCAAGCUUGUGCAACAUGUUCAUCAUCAAGUUGCUUAAAAUUCAUAAUAUCGUUUCGAAGGGUUAUGAUCUUAGCGGGAGGAAAAUACUUAGAGAAAAAAAGCAUCUUUGCACUUAUUCCAUGAAUCAAAACUAUUUUUAGGCAAAGACGAAAACCAAGUUUUAGCACGAUCUCUAAGCAAAAACGAGAAUAUCUUCAAUUUAACAGUACCUUUAUCUACAUCUUUCUUCUUUUGCAUAUCACACAUAUCAACAAAGUUGUUUAGAUGGGUAGCGGCAUCUUCACUAGGAAGGCUGGAAAAUGGGUCUUUCAUGACAAGAUUCAGCAAAGCAGUAUGAAUUUCACAAGAUUCAGCAUCAGUAAGAGGAGCAAUCGGAGUGCUAAUAAAAUCAUUAUUGUUGUUAUUAGAAAAUUCACACAAUUUAGUAUUAUCUUGAGCCAUCGUGACAAACAAUCCAACAGACAAGCACACAAGAGGCAAGAGAAAAGAGACGAACUGGAAAAGAGAAGGGGAACAGAAAAAGAGGGCGAAUAAAACAACAAGGGUGAAGUAGGGGAGAGGAAAACGAGAGGCAAAUGGCAAAUAAUGUAAUGCAAGGGAUAAGACUUUGUGAUGGGUACUUGUUAUGUCUUGACUUGUGUGUAGAUCUCCCCGGCAAUGGCGCCAGAAAUCCUUCUUGCUAUCUCUUGAGCACUGCGUUGGUUUUCCCUUGAAGAGGAAAGGGUGAUGCAGCAAAGUAGCAUAAGUAUUUCCCUCAGUUUUUGAGAACCAAGGUAUGAAUCAAGUAGGAGACUACACGCAAGUCCCUCGUACCUACACAAACAAAUAAGAACCUCGCAACUAACGCGAUAAAGGGGUUGUCAAUCCCUUCACAGUCACUUACGAGAGUGAGAUCUGAUAGAGAUAAUAAUGAUAAGAUAAAUAUUUUUGUUAUUUUUAUGAUAUAAUUGAAAGUAAGAUUGCAAAAUAAACGGUGCCAGAAAAUAACUUGUUUACGGGAGAUUAAUAUAAUGGAGAAUAGACCCGGGGGCCAUAGGUUUCACUAGUGGAUUCUCUCAAGAUAGCAUAAGUAUUAUGGUGGGUGAACAAAUUAAUGUCGAGUAAUUGAUAGAAAAGAGAAUAAUUAUGAGAAUAUCUUGGCAUGAUCAUGUAUAUAGGCAUCACGUCCAUGACAAGUAGACCGACUCCUGCCUGCACCUACUACUAUUACUCCACACAUCGACCGCUAUCCAGCAUGCAUCUAGAGUAUUAAGUUCAUAAGAACAGAGUAACGCAUUAGGUAAGAUGACAUGAUGUAGAGGGAUAAACUCAAGCAAUAUGAUAUAAACCCCAUAUUUUUAUCCUUGAUGGCAACAAUACAAUACGUGUCAUUUCCCUUUUUGUCACUAGGAUCGAGCACCGCAAGAUUGAACCCAAAGCUAAGCACUUCUCCCAUUGCAAGAAAGAUCAAUCUAGUAGGCCAAACCAAACUGAUAAUUCAAAGAGACUUGCAAAGAUAACCAAUCAUACAUAAAAUAUUUCAUAGAAGAAUCAAAUAUUGUUCACAAAUAGUCUUGAUUAUAAACCCACAAUUCAUCGGAGCUCGACAAACACACCACAAAAAGAGUUACAUCGAAUAGAUCUCCAAGAAGACCGAGGAGAACUUUGUAUUGUGAUUUAAAGAGAGAGAAGAAGCCAUCUAGCUAAUAGCUAUGGACCCGAAGGUCUGAAGUAAACUACUCACACAUCAUCCGAGGGGCCAUGGAGUUGAUGUAGAGGCCCUCCGUGAUCGAUGCCCUCUUCGAUGGAGCUCCGGAAAAGGCCCCAAGAUGGGAUCUCUUGGGUACAGAAGUUUGCGGCGGUGGAAAUAGGGUUUCGUGGUGCUCCUAGAUGUUUUCGGGGUAUAUGAAUGUAUAUAUAGGAGGAAGAAGUAGGUCGGUGGAGCCACGAGGGGCCCACGAGGGGGAGGGCGCGCCCCCUGCCUCGUGGCCUCCUUGUUGGUUUCUUGACGUCCACUCCAAGUCCUCUGGAUCAUGUUUGUUCCAAAAUUAACUCUCCCGAAGGUUUUAUUCCGUUUGGAUUUCGUUUGAUAUUGCUUUUCUGCGAAACACUAAAAUAGGCAAAAAAAACAACAAUUUGCACUGGGCCUUGGGUUAGUAGGUUAGUCCCAAAAACAAUAUAAAAGUGUAGAAUAAAGCCCAUUAACAUCCAAAACAGAUACUAUAAUAGCAUGGAACAAUCAAAAAUUAUAGAUACGUUAGAGACGUAUCAGGGGUGCAUGUUGGUGGGCGGCGUCUUUGGUGGCGCGCGAUGGAUAAUCUGGGGUCGUGUGUCACAUCCCUAGUUCUGGUUUGCUCUGGGCUAGCUAGUCCUGUGUGCAUCAUGUUUAAAAUUCAAUGAAUUUGAAAUGGGGACUUGUGAAAGCCUCAGAAAUCAUUUUGAAAAUGAUCAAGAUAAAAAUUUCUUCAAUUUGUACCAAGAAAAUGUUCCUGUUUUUCCCUAAUAAUAUUGGCCAGAGUUAAAAUUCCAACCAAUAUUUUUGGGAGCUCAGAAGUAUUUAUUUUUGGCCAUUUGAGUUAAUCCAGUAAAUAUUUGCAUUGGAUAUAUAUAUAUGUUAUAUAUAUAUAUUAUAUAUGUCCAAUAAUUCCGAUUUUUACUGUGGGGAUCUGGAAUAAUCCAAUUAGUUCCUACAUUAAUUUUCAGAAGAAAAUAAAUUGGUUUAGUAUUUUACUAAAUCAGAAACAAAAUUACAGAAAUAGAAAAGAAAACAAAAUAGAAAAAAAGGGGAGAAAGGUUUUACCUGGCCUUACCUGAAGCUGGCCUAGCUGACAGCCCAGCUCGCUGGCCCAGCCCACCUAGCGUCUCCUGUCGUCUUCCUGUUGCCAGUAGGAGCAGCUGCGUGCUUGCACGUGCGCGGCUGAGGAGGCCAGCUCCUCCCUGCCUGCCUGCCCGUCCCCGACACGUCUGGACGAGGCCACGCAACCCCUCUGGCCCUCUCUCACUCUCCCCGUGUCCAUCCCUCUCCUCCGCUCUCUCCGCACAGCACCACCGAACGCCACCAUCGUCGCCGCUCGCCGCUGCCGCGGCUACAACCAUCCCCUCACCCCUCUGUCGUGUCCACUAGCACCGCCGUUGAGCUCCGCCUCCCCAAGCCGAAGGAACCGAGCCCGGACACCCUGCAUCGCCUCCACGCCAUCGUCUUCAACCUCGGGUUGACCGAGAUCGCCGUCGCCCGUACGCCGCUGUCAGGUCGCCCCCGAGCUCACUGUCUCCUUCAUCCAAACCACCGUAAGCCCCUGCCUCUUUCCCCUCUCUCCCGUGCUCUUUUCCUCGACAUAGCCGCCGCUUCACCGACGACCGAAUCGCGCUGCCGCCUGAGCCCCUCGCCGCCGUUGCCACAGUCACCGUAGCCCCUAACCGAGCACACCCACGUGCUCACCGCACCUCAUAGAGGCCGUAGGUGCUACGCCCGCAUCUCCACGCCCGCUGCAGCUUCGAACCCGAGCUCGCCCGAGCUCCGGCCUCCGCUAAAGCUCGUCGCCGGCCACUUUUCGGCCACCCCAGCACCACCCACCACCACCACUAGAAGCACGGCAAUGCCAGGAACCCAUAGAGCCCUUCCGCGCGUUGUGUGGCCUCCCGUAGCUCAAACCCAAGCCGCGCCUCCGUUGUUUUUGUCGCCGCCGGCAAGGCUCCGGCGACUGCUGACAUGGCUAAGUCAUUAGCAGCUAACCGUCCCACUAAUUAAACCUAGAGGCAGUGACAGCUGGGCCCCACCGACUAACUAAACUUGGUUUAGUGUUUGUUUAGAUUAAACUAACCCCGCUGGGCCCACAGGUCAGUUUGACCUGGCCACGUCACCUGUUGACUGACCCCACCCGUCAACGUUGACUUGCUGAUGUGGCUGUUAACCCGACCCCACCUAUCGGUGACCCAGACAGCACUAUGUGACUGACCAGUGGACCCCACUGGUUAGGUUUGACCCGGUCAACCGCAGUUGACUUGCUAACAUCACAUCGACGUCAUGCUGAUGCAGUAAAUCAUUUUCUGGAUUUAAAAUAAUUAGGAAAUUCUAGAAAAUGUCUAAAACUUCUAAAAAUCAUAGAAAUUAAUCUAUAACUCAGAAUGAAAUAAAUUAUAUAUGAAAAAUUAUCAGAAAAAUUCAAGGAAUCCAUUUGUAUCAUUUCCAUGCAUGUUUUAACAAUGUAUGUCCUCUGUUUUGGACAAAACAAAUAAAGGGCAUUUAGAUAAUCAUAUAUGGAGUUGGAAUUUGAAUCAUGUAUCCAAACCAACUUCAUUUCAAUCAUAUCUAGAUGCAUUAGCUCAAAUCACAGCAUAUUGCCAUGUCAUCAUCAUGCAUCAUAUUGUGGCAUUGCAUUGAUUGUGUUCUUUCUCAGUUGCUGUUGUUUGUCCCCUCUCGAUAGACGUGUAUCGACGACGAGAACGAUGAUACCGAUGAAGUGUGUUCCUCUUCAGAAGUGUCAGGCAAGCAAAACCCCCUUGUUCAUUUUGAUACAAUCCCACUCUCUCACUCCUGCUCUCUUUUACUGCAUUAGGACAACAACGAUUCAACUGUUACAUGCUGCGGUAGUUGAACCACUUUCCUUUGCAUGACUUGUCAUUGCCACAGUAAAUAGAUGAAACCCACUAGCAUGAGUAAGAGUUGUUUGAGCCCUGGUGUGCAUACUCAUUCAUGCUUGUUUAUCAUGCCUGCCAUUGCUUAGAGUUGAGUCAGGUCUGAUUCAUCGGGGAUGAAUUAGAGGUGUGAGAACAUGUCCUACUGUUGUGAUCGAAGUGUGUGAACACGAUUUGGUAAAGGUAUCGGUGAGAGGCCAUGUAGGAGUACAUGGUGGGUUGUCUCAUUGAAGCCAUCCUCAGGAACUGAGUUCUGUUUGUGAUCCAUGAACAGCUACUACCACGCAUUGGAAUGCUUAAGUGCCCCUCUCGACUUAUUAAUGAACCUGGUCUCUGUCCAGGAGUUGCAACUAGUUUCUAGUGUUUGUAGGUUGUGUUAGUAGUCUACCAAGUGGUACCCGGUACAAGUGGGCUUGGGACAGACUAGGCACCAUGGCACGGUGUACCAAGUGUAGAUCCAUCCGUCGAGGUGGGCUUGGGAACCCUGCACUCAUCGUUUGGGGCCGUGAGCGACACCCCGGCCGGAUCUCCUUGCGGAUGGAACCCGAAUAGGCGAUAAACCUAGACUAGAGACUUGUUGGUUAGUCAGGUCGUGGACAACUCCCUCGCCAGGCUUCCGCUUGAAGGUUGCCAAGAUACAUGAUGUGUACAUGGUGGUAAGUGGCGAGAGCAUGUGUGAAGAAGUACACCCCUGCAGGGUUAACAUCAUCUAUUCGAAUAGUCGUGUCUGCGGUAAAGGACUUCUAGGUUGCCUGUACAGUUCAUAAACAAGUGAAGUGGAUACUCUAAAAUGCGCAAGAUAAGCGUGAGUGCUAUGGAUGGCGUUCUCGUAGGGAGACAGGAGUGGAUCCAUAGUGGUGUAUUGAUAUGGUGAAUAUGUGAACUCAUGUGCUCCACCUCAAAAGAGUUACUUGCAGUCAUAGUCCAGGAUAGCCACCGAGUCAAAGCUGGCUUGCUGCAGUUAAACUCCAACACCCCUUUAUUGAUACUGAUGCAUAUGUAGCUAGUUCUAAUGUAAGUCUUGCUGGGUACAUUUGUACUCAUGUUUGCUUAAUUUAUGUCUUUAUAGAGAGAUUUCAGUCUCACUAGUAGUUCCGCAUGGACCUCGACGUUUAGCUCGUUACCUCAGCUACGAUCUUAUACCCUUGGGAGGGUCUUGUAGAUAGUCAGGCUUCUCAGCCUUCUUCAUUUGUUGUUGCCUGUACUCAGACAAGUUAAGCUUCCGCAUGUGCUUGUUGCUUGUAUGCUCUAUAUGUUGGGUCAUGAGACCCAUGUUUGUAAUAUCUCGCUCCUCGGAGCCUAAUGAAUAAAUACUUUGAGUCGUAGAGUUUUGUUGUGAUGCCAUGUUGUAUUUACACAUAUCGAGCAUAUUGUGUGUAUGAUUGAAAUGCUUGGUAUGUGUGGUAUCCGACAACCUAGUUGUUUAUCCUUGGUAGGCUCUCUUAUGGGGAAAUGUAGUCUUGUGCUUCCAUGAGCCAUAGUAGUCCGCUACAGCCGGUUCACCAGAGUCCUGCUAGCCCAGCACUACUGCUCCGGAACACUUGACUGGCCGGCAUGUGAUCCACUUCGUUCCUGUGUCUGUCCCUUCGGGGAAAUGUCACGUGGUGACAUCCGGAGUCCUGCCUAGCCUGCUACAGCCCGGUUCACCAGAGUCCUAUUAGCCCAGUGCUACAGCCCGGAUUCGCACGCUGCUGAUCGACAUGCUCGAUGUUGAUUCAUGUAUGCCUGUCCCCGUAAGUUAGUGCCACUUUGGGUUCACGACUAGUCAUGUCGGCCCGGGUUCUCUAUCAUAUGGAUGCUAGCAACACUAUCAUAUACGUGAGCCGAAAGGCGCAAAUGGUCCCGGGCCAUGGUAAGGCGACACCCGUGGGAAUACCGUGCGUGACGCCGCAAAGCGAUAUGAGGUGUUACCGGCUAGAUCGAUGUGACUUGGAAUCGGGGUUCUGACAGCUUUGGUAUCAGAGCCUGACUGCCUGUAGGAUUACCAAGCCAAGAUGGUCAAAGUCGUGUCUAGAAAUGCUUUAGUUAUAUAAGGGAAUUGAUUGUGGAUGAGAACGUAAGGCUCUUUUUACUCCUUAUCCUCAUGACCUUCUGAUCUGAGUCAUCUUAUCUUUUCUACAGGGUUAAGAACUAGGCUUCUCUUCUAUCUCUCAGGAUGACGUGUUACUAAACCGUAGUUGCCUAGGAUUGUUGAGUUCAAGCCUCAAUUCAGUUCCUACUACUUCCAUAUGUUCAUAGCUGGCCUCAGAACCUUGAUAUUGUGAUGUUGAGUGGUUAUGCCACCAUUUUGCAGGAUGUCUCAAAUCAUUUUGAGCAUUUACAGCCAUUAUGCUGUCCGAGUCAUCCCAGGUUUCUAAACAGUCUGGUGCAUCUGCAAAUCCCUUCCUCCCAUUCCUGAUGUCCUUUUGGGCCAGAUUAAGCACACUAAUCGGUGAGUUGAGGUACUCUAUUGCCUCAACAUAUAUGUUGGAGUUGUUAUUAUGACACUAGGGUAUCUUAGAGUUAGUAAUCUAGCCAUGUUUGGUGUUCCCAGUGUGAUGAUUCUGGCCACCAUUCUCGAAAGCAUCUCGUGAUGUUAUUUAGUUAGUAGGUAUUCUACUCCUGGGUUUUGAUCCCGAGAUUCACCCUACUUCAUGUUGUUAGUAUUUGCUAGUUCCCUUAAGAUAUUAGUAACCUUGUGAUAGUCCUCGAGGUCUAUGGUAUAUCGUUCUUCCAAUACCAUGAGCCAAUAUGGCAGAAGUUAUUUGAACCAAAAGAUCACAAUCAGAGUACUCUUGAGGAGUUCCCCAUUCAUAAUUGUGACUCUGCCAGUCCUACCUCUCUGCAUGGGUUAUCCGGAAGAAAUGUUGAGCUUUGUACAACAUACUAAUCUAUGCAUCCAUAACUCAGAAAAUCAUAUGUUCUUUGAGUUGUCCCUCAUUAGUUGUUUUCUGACCCCCGACUAUCAAUUUGUAGUCAGGAGUAAUCGUGCAUUCGUGUUAUCGAUGCCUAUUAUUCUCGUGUUCCGACAAACCAUUCUAUUCUAGAAUGACUAGGAGAAACAAACUCCAGCACCUCAUCCAUUUCUUGGACUGGUCAAAGUAGUUGUAUUUCACAGAUCAAAAUGCCAAUCUAGCUUUUGCUCUGUUCUACCUUGGAGUGUUACCAUCUUUAUGUCAAGAAUGUCAUGAGAAUUGCACCACCUCUUAUGAAUUCUUGACGCAGUGAUACUUCUCGCCAUCAUUAUUCAUUCCUCGGUCCCGUGUUGUUGUAACCGAAAUGCCGACAAGUGUACUGUGAUGCGCAAAAUCAAUACUCCUAGCAACUCCGUUGCUUGGUAGUUAAUGGACAAUACUCUCAUUCUUAGCGUGCUGGUUAUUGAAUUAUCAUUCUAAGACUGAUCGAGCUACCUAGUCCAUAUUUCUGGUGCACUCUUCAAUCAAUGAGUUAGGAGUUUGUCAAUCCUUCGCUCGUUAGAUCAUAUCAUCUUGCCUGAAGAGCAAGAUUGUUCCCGAGCUUAGUAACAUAUCGGUGGUUCGUGAUUUUCCAGAUAUCUUCUCGGAAGUAUCACCGGGUUGUCACCUGACUGCUAUGUUGAGUUCGUCAUCAAGUUGGGUUUUUGUAACCACCCCUUCUCCAAGAAUCUGAGUUGGAUACCCUGAACUGGUUGGUUAAGCUAAACAAUAACUUGGAGAGUUGGAAGAUAAAAGCUUUAUCCGACUUAGUUCAUUUUAGGGGAUAUCUUGUAUGUGUGUUGAAGAAAGAUGGUAUUUUCAUCGAUUGACCCUCGUGAUUAGUUAAUGGACCUAUCAUCUUAUCCAAUCUUUGAUUCGAGUAUGGGCUAUCCUCUAAUCAUAUCAGGACCAACGAUAUUCGUAAUGUUGUCUUACUCGUGAUUGUUUCCUCGAGCAUACAUCAUUAUAUCUUUUGGGUCUGACCAAUGCUAUAACCUUGUUCACAUAGUUGUGGAAUUCCAUCUUCAUGGAAAUCUCGAUGAUUGUUGUUGAGCUCAUCAUCAACAUUUCAUCUUGUCCAUGAUUCAUGUUGAACAUCUAAGUUAGUGUUGGAAACUUUUGUAAGCAUUUCUUCAUCUCCCGUUCAUGAAGUAUAUGUUUUGGUGAAAGAAGUGACUUUCUCCAAGUUCACAUGCAUUAGGUGUAAGUUGCCGCCAUGAAUUUGAGAAAGGUUUGUUUUGUUUCCUCUGGAAUCAUCCCAAAUCAGUCAUGCAUACGUGCGAAGUAUUCUAUGGUUUGGUAGAUUAAUUACCUCCACUCCAUAUGUAUUCCCUAGCACACCAAGCCACUGAUUGAUUUGUUCAAGGAGAAGAAGUUCCUUCCUAAGAGCUAAUCCAGACUUGUGUAAGGACUUCGAUAUCCCCGAUGAUGGUUCCUCACCUGAACUUUGGUAGUGUUUUAUUGUAAGACUACUAUGUGGUCAUGCUUGUCUUGGACAACAUGUUCACAUGUGUGUAGUAGAACCAACUCAUGUUUUGGAGCUUGCUAUCGUAGUUCAUCUCCCGAGAGUCUCGCAACGUUAUCUCGUCGACUUGUGUUGCAACCUUUCUUUUCUGGACAUGUUGUCUGAAAAAAUCCUGUUACCAACCAGAUCUGAAUCUCAGGCAGAUAUGAUGGCUGGAACAUUUCCAAGAUCUAUGAUGUAGGUCCCGACGAGGUUGAUGUUCUGGACGACACACCUAGUCGGAAGAUCUAUUAUGGUAGUAUCUUGAAUGAGCAAUUUGACCAUCUUCUCCAUGAGGAUUUGGUAUGACUUAUUCCACAAGUUGUUCCUUAUGGAUUUUUGUGCUCCCGAAGUCCGACCUUUACUUGAUGGCCAUGUUGAUGCUUUUAAGCAUUGACCGUGGUACCUAGUACAUCAAGGAGAACAUUGGAAGCGGAGUGCUAAAUGUCUUUUGGGCGAUCAUCCAGAUUUGCUUCUUUGGCAUUGCUAAGGAAAAAUCUGAGAAAGUGAUGUCCUCCUUGCAUCUGCUUCCUCCAUCACCGUUCAUCAUGGUAGUAUGAUGUGUUGCCAGGAUCCUCGGCACGGAUGUUCGUAAAACCUUGAUGAAUAAGGAAAUGCUUUAGUUCUUGAGAGCACGCUCAGUCACUGGGUUAUAUCCUCGGUAUCAAUUGCAAUGUGCCUUCCAUUGCCGAGUUGUCCUAUAACUCUAGUUUCCUCUCCAAACUGAGUAUGCCAUUCUUUCGAAUUCAUUCAAACAAUUAAUUGUGAUUUUCCUUAGGCUGGUAUAGAGAGUUUGAAUGAUCUCUGUAUCAAAAGUAAUUCUUUUUGCCACUUAAGGGAAUAAUUCUACAAGUCACCUUCCCCGAGGUGUCCCGUUAUGGAAUCAUGGCAAUUAUCUCGUCACUACCUUGAAAACCAUGCACUAUCCUACUCCAGUAUGGAAUUGUCGCCUACCAAUUUGAACCUUUAUCAUAUGUUUCUCAUCCAUCAUCUCUGAUGUGUGUUUUGCGUCUUAGCUCAAGGGAUGUUUCUACGUCUCAUUCCGUGAGUUGAUCUUGUGUUCAUUAAGAUCGAUGAUCCAUUCUUGUGAGGUUGUCUUGCUCUCUUGUCGCCAUGUUGGAUGAAGUUCUCGAAGGAAAGGAUGUCAUAAUCAAAGAUGAUGAUCGAAUCAACGUUCUUAUGAAGUGCAACAUGGAUCGUGAAGACUGUGUCAUUUUCGUGUCCCCUCUGUCUUCUUACCUCACGUCUUGAAUAUCGGGACGAGAUUCUUGUUUAGUGGGGUGAGUUGUCACAUCCCUAGUUCUGGUUUGCUCUGGGAUAGCUAGUCAUGUGUGCAUCAUGUUUAAAAUUCAAUGAAUUUGAAAUGGGGACUUGUGAAAGCCUCAGAAAUCAUUUUGAAAAUGAUCAAGAUAAAAAUUGCUUCAAUUUGGCCCAAGAAAAUGUUCCUGUUUUUCUCUAAUAGUAUUGGCCAGAGUUAAAAUUCCAACCAAUAUUUUUGGGAGCUCAGAAGUAUUUAUUUUUGGCCAUUUGAGUUAAUCCAGUAAAUAUUUGCAUUGGAUAUAUAUAUAUAUGUUAUAUAUUAUGUAUGUCCAAUAAUUCUGAUUUUUACUGUGGGGAUCUGGAAUAAUCCAAUUAGUUCCUACAUAAUUUUCAGAAGAAAAUAAAUUGGUUUAGUAUUUUACUAAAUCAGAAACAAAAUUACAGAAAUAGAAAAGAAAACAAAAUAGAAAAAAGGGGAGAAAGGUUUUACCUGGCCUUACCUGAAGCCGGCCCAGCUGGCAGCCCAGCUCGCUGGCCCAGCCCACCUGGCGCCUCCUGUUGUCUUCCUCCUACCAGUAGGAGCACCUGCGUGCUCGCACGCGCGCGGCCGAGGAGGCCAGCUCCUCCCUGCCUGCCUGCCCCUCCCCGACGCGUCUGGACGACGCCACGCAACCCCUCUGGCCCUCUCUCACUCUCCCCGUGUCCAUCCCCCUCCUCUGCUCUCUCCGCAGAACACCACCGAACGCCACCAUCGCAGCCACUCGCCGCUUCCGCGGCUACAGCCAUCCUCUCACCCCUCUGUCUUGUCCAAUAGCACCGCCGUUGAGCUCCGCCUCCCCAAGCCGAAGGAACCGAGCCUGCACGCCCUGCAUCACCUCCACGCCAUCGUCUUCAACCUCGGGUUGACCGAGAUCGCCGCCGCCCGUACGCCACCGUCAGGCCGCCCCCGAGCUCACUGUCUCCUUCAUCCGAACCGCCAUGAGCCCCUGCCUCUUUCCCCUCUCUCCCGUGCUCUUUUCCUUGACAUAGCCGCCACUUCGCCGACGACCGAAUCGCGCCGCCGCCUGAGCCCCUCGCCGCCGUGGCCACAGUCACCGUAGCCCCCAACCGAGCACACCCACGUGCUCACCGCACCUCGUAGAGGCCGUAGGUGCUACGCCCGCAUCGCCACGCCCGCUGCAGCUUCGAACCAGAGCUUGCCCGAGCUCCGGCUGCCGCUAAAGCUCGUCGCCGGCCACUUUCUGGCCAUCCCAGCACCACCCGCCACCACCACUAGAAGCGCCGCAACGCUAGGAACCCGUAGAGCCCUUCCGCGCGUUGUGUGGCUGCCCGUAGCUCAAACCCGAGCCGCGCUGCCAUCGUUUUGGUCGCCACCGGCAAGGCUCCGACGACUGCUGACAUGGCUAAGUCAUUAGCAGCUAACAGUCCCACUAAUUAAACCUAGAGGCACUGACAGCCGGGCCCCACCGACUAACUAAACUUGGUUUAGUGUUUGUUUAGAUUAAACUAACCCUGCUGGCCCACAGGUCAGUUUGACCUGGCCACAUCACCUAUUGACCGACCCCACCCAUCAGCGUUGACUUGCUGACGUGGCUGUUGACCCGACCCCACCUGUCGGUGACCCAGACAGCACUGUGUGACUGACCAGUGGACCCCACUGGUCAGGUUUGACCUAGUCAACCGCAGUUGACUUGCUGACAUCACAUCGACGUCAUGCUGAUGCAGUAAGUCAUUUUCUGGAUUUAAAAUAAUUAGGAAAUUCCAUAAAAUGUCUAAAACUUCUAAAAAUCAUAGAAAUUAAUCUAUAACUCAGAAUGAAAUAAUAUAUAUGAAAAAUUAUCAGAAAAAUUCAAGGAAUCCAUCUGUACCGUUUCCAUGCAUGUUUUAACAAUGUAUGUCCUUUGUUUUGGACAAAACAAAUAAAGGGCAUUUAGAUAAUCAUAUAUGGAGUUGGUAUUUGAAUCAUGUAUCCAAACCAACUUCAUUUAAAUCAUAGCUAGAUGCAUUAGCUCAAAUCACAUCAUAUUGCCAUGUCAUGAUCAUGCAUCAUACUGUGGCAUUGCAUUGAUUGUGUUCUUUCUCAGUUGCCGGUGUUUGUCCCCUCUCGGUAGACGUGUAUCGACGAUGAGAACGAUGACACCGAUGAAGUGUGUUCCUCUUCAAAAGUGUCAGGAACGCAAAACCCCCUUGUUCAUUCUGAUAAAAUCCCACUCUCUCGCUCCUGCUCUCUUUUACUGCAUUAGGACAACAACGAUUCAACUGUUACAUGCUGCGGUAGUUGAACCCCUUUGCUUUGCAUGACCUGUCAUUGCCACGGUAAAUAGAUGAAACCCUCUAGCAUGAGUAGGAGUUGUUUGAGCCCUGGUGUGCCUACUCAUUCAUGCUUGUUUGUCAUGCCUGCUAUUGCUUAGAGUUGAGUCAGGUCUGAUUCAUCGGGGAUGAAUUAGAGGUGUGAGAACAUGUCCUACUGUUGUGAUCGAAGUGUGUCAACAUUAUCUGGUAAAGGUGUCGGUGAGAGGCCAUGUAGGAGUACAUGGUGGGUUGUCUCAUUUAAGCCGUCCUCAGGAACUGAGUUCUGUGUUUGUGAUCCAUGAACAACUACUACCACGCAUUGGAAUGCUAAAGUGCCCCUCUCGACUUAUUAAUCAACCUGAUCUCUGUCCAGGAGUUGCAACUAGUUUCUCGUGUUUGUAGGUUGUGUUAGUAGUCUACCAAGUGGUACCCGGUACAGGUGAGCUUGGGACAGACUAGGCACCAUGGCAUGGUGUACCAAACGUAGAUCCAUCCGUCGAGGUGGGCUUGGGAACCCUGCACACAUCGUUUGGGGCCGUGAGCGACACCCCGGCCGGAUCUCCUUGCGGAUGGAACCCGAAUAGGCGAUAAACCUAGACUAGAGACUUGUUGGUUAGUCAGGUCAUGGCCGACUCCCUCGCCAGGCUUUCGCUUGAAGGUUGCCAAGAUACAUGAUGUGUACAUGGUGGUAAGUGGCGAGAGCAUGUGUGAAGAAGUACACCCCUGCAGGGUUAACAUCAUCUAUUCAAAUAGUCGUGUCUGCGGUAAAGGACUUCUGGGUUGCCUGUACAGUUCAUAGACAAGUGAAAGUGGAUACUCUAAAAUGCGCAAGAUAAGCUUGAGUGCUAUGGAUGUCGUUCUCGUAGGGAGACGGGAGCGGAUCCGUAGUGGUGUAUUGAUAUGGUGAAUAUGUGGACUCAUGUGCUCCACCUCAAAAGAGUUACUUGCAGUCGUAGUUUAGGAUAGCCACCGAGUCAAAGCUGGCUUGCUGCAGUUAAACUCCAACACCCCUUUAUUGAUACUGAUGCAUAUGUAGCUAGUUCUGAUGUAAGUCUUGCCGGGUACAUUUGUACUCACGUUUGCUUAAUUUAUGUCUUUGUAGAGAGACUUCAGUCUCACUAGUAGUUCCGCAUGGACCUCGACGUUUAGCUCGUUACCUCAGCUACGAUCUUGUACCCUUGGGAGGGUCUUGUAGAUAGUCAGGCUUCUCAGCCUUCUUCAUUUGUAGUUGUCUGUACUCAGACAAGUUAAGCUUCCGCAUGUGCUUGUUGCUUGUAUGCUCUGUAUGUUGGGUUAUGAGACCCAUGUUUGUAAUAUCUCGCUCCUCGGAGCCUAAUGAAUAAAUACUUUGAGUCGUAGAGUUUUGUUGUGAUGCCAUGUUGUAUUUACACAUAUCGAUCAUAUUGUGUGUAUGAUUGAAAUGCUAGGUAUGUGUGGGAUCCAACAACCUAGUUGUUUAUCCUUGGUAGCCUCUCUUAUGGGGAAAUGUAGUCUUGUGCUUCCAUGAGCCAUAGUAGUCCGCUAUAGCCCGGUUCACCGGAGUCCUACUAGCCCAGCACUACUUCUCUGGAACACUUGACUGGCUGGCAUGUGAUCCACUUCGUUCCUGUGUCUGUCCCUUUAAGGAAAUGUCACGCGGUGACAUCUGGAGUCCUGCCUAGCCUGCUACAGCCCGGUUCACCGGAGUCCUGUUAGCCUAGUGCUACAGCCCGGAUUCGCACGCUGCUGACCGACAUGCUCGAUGUUGAUUCAUGUAUGCCUGUCCCCGUAAGUUAGUGCCACUUUGGGUUCACGACUAGUCAUGUCGGCCCGGGUUCUCUAUCAUAUGGAUGCUAGCAACACUAUCAUAUACGUGAGCCGAAAGGCGCAAACGGUCCCGGGCCAUGGUAAGGCGACACCCGUGGGAAUACCGUGCGUGAGGCCGCAAAGUGAUAUGAGGUGUUACCGGCUAGAUCGAUGUGACUUGGAUUCGGGGUCCUGACAUCGUGGGUGGUUGGUGGUCAGGAGAAAUCCUUGUUGGCUUGUCCAGCACUGACACAGUGAUGCUAGUGGGUGCCACCUUGCCUUCAGAAGGGCAUCGGGUUUACCCUUUCCCCCGCGCCCCUCUGCGUACCGGGGGAAACCCUAGGGCUUGUCCGGGCAGCAACGCCGUUGGCGUCGUGAUUUUUCUUGAAGGUGUUGCUUAGUAUGCGGCGGUCCGGACUGCUUGGAGUGUGGUGGAAUUCUCCGGUGGGCGCAGAGGUUGCGAGUCUCCAUCGUUUUCUUUGAUCCGUCGCUGUUCACAUUUGUUUCUUUUUCUAUUUUCUCUUUCGUUUCUUUUGGGCAUGACUGUGCUGCUUCCGUCCUAGCACCUAUCGUAGGCUAUAUCAGUGAUGGUUGCUUUGUAAUUCAAAGCGGGGGAAACCCUUUUUCGUAACAUCAAGUACCGCAUAAGACAAAUAAAGAAUGUGUGCUGAGGCCUCAAUACAAACACGCCCAAGAAACACAAGAAAGAAAGCAUGAAAUAGACCACCAAGUGGCCACCCCAUCAGGGAGACGCGAGUGAAGCGAGGUGACGAGCCGUGCCAUGAAGCGCAUCAUCCCCGCCCGGUCACCAUCCCGCUGCCUAGCCAGCGGGUGCUAGUGCUAUAAGAAGGCAAGAAAUUUGAAGUAGGAGUCAGGGGCCCUACGAUGGAAGACCCGCUAUCACCAUUUUAUUACGCGUCAUCCAGAGAGUCCAAGCUAAUUCUGCGACAACUAAGCAAAAAAGCCGCGCUUUUCGCCCUGUCUGGGCAGCUAUAGCCUGGAGAAAGCCUGCCAGGUCCUAAGCCUCCCAGGCUGGCCAAGAGCCUCCCGGACAAAGCACCACAAUACUCACAUUGUGCACGUGAAGAGGACAUGUGUCCUUGUUUUCGGGUACCCACAUAAGGGGACAACCGAUUACCCUGGUCUUACCUCUGUAGCACCUCCGUCCCUGACGGUAGGCGAUCCCUCAACAAUUGCCACACAAUUUUUUGAUCUUUAAUGGGAGUGGCGCCUUCCAAAGAGGGAGGGUCCAUAGUUAUUAGCUAGAUGACUUAUUCUCUUUUUUUGGAUCUCAAUACAAAGUUCUCCCCCUCUCUUGUGGAGAUCUAUUCAAUGUAAUCUUCUUUUGCGGUGUGUUUGUUGAGAUCGAUGAAUUGUGGGUUUAUGAUCAAGUUUAUCUAUGAACAAUAUUUGAAUCUUCUCUGAAUUCUUUUAUGUAUGAUUGGUUAUCUUUGCAAGUCUCUUCGAAUUAUCAGUUUGGUUUGGCCUACCAGAUUGAUCUUUCUUGUAAUGGGAGAAGUUCUUAGCUUUGGGUUCAAUCUUGCAGUGUCCUUUCCCAGUGACAGUAGGGGCAGCAAGGCACGUAUUGUAUUGUUGCCAUCGUGGAUAACAAGAUGGGGUUUAUAUCAUAUUGCAUGAGUUUAUCCCUCUACAUCAUGUCAUCUUGCUUAAAGCAUUACUCUGUUCUCUUGAACUUAAUACUCUAGAUGCAUGCUGGAUAGCGGUCGAUGUGUGGAGUAAUAGUAGUAGAUGUAGGCAGGAGUCGGCCUACUUGUCUCGGACGUGAUGCCUAUAUACAUGAUCAUACCUAGAUAUUCUCAUAACUAUGUUGAAUUCUGUCAAUUGCUCAACAGUAAUUUGUUCACCCACUGUAAUACUUAUGCUCUCGAGAGAAGCCUCUAGUGAAACCUAUGGCCCCUGGGUCUAUUUUCCAUCAUAUUAAUCUUUCAAUACUUAGUUAUUUCCUUUGCCAUUUAUUUUACUUGCAUAUUUAUUUCUCGUUAUCAUAAAAAUACCAAAAAUAUUAUCUUAUCAUAUCUACAGAUCUCACUCUCGUAGGUGACCGUGAAGGGAUUGACAACCCCUUUAUCGCGUUGGUUGCGAGGAGUUUAUUUGUUUGUGUAGGUGCGAGGGACUCGUGCGUGGCCUCCUACUGGAUUGAUACCUUGGUUCUCAAAAACUGAGGGUAAUACUUACGCUGCUCUACUACAUCACCCUUUCCUCUUCAAGGGAAAACCAACGCACUGCUCAAGAGGUAGCAAGAAGGAUUUCUGGCGCCGUUGCCGGGGAGUCUACGCAAAAGUCAACAUACCAAGUACCCAUCACAAACACUUAUCUCCCGCAUUACAUUAUUUGCCAUUUGCCUCUCGUUUUCCUCUCCCCCACUUCACCCUUGCCGUUUUAUUCGCCCUCUCUCUCUCCAUCCUCCCUCUCUUUCUCUAUUCGCCUCUUUUUGCCCGUUUCUUGUUUGCUUGUGUGUCGCGUUUCUUGCUUGUCACAAUGGCUCUUUCUAGAUUUGGUGAUCUCCACCUUAAAAGGUUAGAAGAGAUCGAAAGCAACGUCAAGAGUUUUAUGGUCUUACAAUUUGAGCAUAAUAAUUUCUUUAGAAAUGAGCUUAAAGAACAAAAAAUCUUUAUGGGUUAUAUGAAUAAAGAGCUCGAUGAUAUGUCUAAAGAAUUUGAUGGUUUAAAAUCUCAGAUUGCUCAUCUUGAGAAGUUAAUAGCUGAAGUUCUGGAUAAGCAAGCCAUCUUAGUUAAUAAGAUGGCCGCUAAGCCGGAAUUUUUUUUGGAAGACAAAGAUGAAGAUCUAAAAGUUAUUGAUGUGUCCCCUAUUAAAUCUUUGUUUUGCAAUAUGAAUCUUGAUAAUGAUGGGACUGAAUAUGAUCCACAUUUACCUAGAAGGCGUUCCAAAAUUUUGGAGUCUUUAGAUCUUGAUGCUAAAAUUGUUAAAAGUGGGAUUGAAGAAGUCACAACUUUAAAUAUUAAUGAACCCACUAUUUUGGAUUUCAAGGAAUUUAAUUAUGAUAAUUGCUAUUUGAUAGAUUGUAUUUCCUUGUUGCAAUCCGUGCUAAAUUCUCCUCAUGCUUAUAGUCAAAAUAAAGCCUUUACCAAACAUAUUGUUGAUGCUUUGAUGCAAUCUUAUGAAGAAAAACUUGAGCUGGAAGUUUCUAUCCCUAGAAAACUUUAUGAUGAGUGGGAACCUACUAUUAAAAUUAAGAUUAAAUAUCAUGAAUGCUAUGCUUUGUGUGAUUUGGGUGCUAGUGUUUCCACGAUUCCAAAGACUUUGUGUGAUUUGCUAGGUUUCCGUGAUUUUGAUGAUUGCUCUUUAAACUUGCACCUUGCGGAUUCCACUAUUAAGAAACCUAUGGGAAGAAUUAAUGAUGCUCUUAUUGUUGCAAAUAGGAAUUAUGUGCCCAUGGAUUUUAUUGUUCUUGACAUAGAUUGCAAUCCUUCAUGUCCUAUUAUUCUUGGUACACCUUUCCUUAGAACGAUUGGUGCAAUUAUUGAUAUGAAGGAAGGCAAUAUUAGAUUCCAAUUUCCAUUAAGGAAAGGCAUGGAACACUUCCCUAGAAAUAAAAUUAAAUUACCUUAUGAAUCUAUUAUGAGAGCCACUUAUGGAUUGCCUUCCAAAGAUGGCAAUACCUAGAUCUAUCUUCGCUUUUAUGCCUAGCUAGGGGCGUUAAAUGAUAGUGCUUGUUGGGAGGCAGCCCAAUUUUAUUUUUAUUCCUUGCUUUUUGCUCUUGUUUAGUAAUAAAUAAUUUAUCUAGCCUUUGUUGUGUUUUUUGUGUUUAAUUAGUGUUUGUGCCAAGUAGAACCGUUGGGAAGACUUGGGGAAAGUCUUUUUAAUCUUGCUGUAAAAAACAGAAACUUUAGUUAAUUCUUUUUGCAUAUGAUUAAUAGAUAAAUUCCUCACGUCUAGAUAUUUAUUUUAGAAUUUUUGGGGUUCCAGAUCUUGUGUUAGCUACAGAUUACUACAGACUGUUCUGUUUUCGACAGAUUCUGUUUUUUCGUGUGUUGUUCGCUUAUUUUGAUGAAUCUAUGGCUAGUAAAAUAGUUUAUAAACCAUAGAGAAGUUGGAAUACAGUAGGUUUAACACCAAUAUGAAUAAAGAAUGAUUUCAUUACAGUACCUUGAAGUUUUGUUUUGUUUUCUUUCGCUAACGGAGCUCACGAGAUUUUCUACUUUAAGUUUUAUGUUCUGAAGUUUUCAAGUUUUGGGUAAAGAUUUGAUGGAUUAUGGAACAAGGAGUGGCAAGAGCCUAAGCUUGGGGAUGCCCAUGGCACCCCCAAGAUAAUCUAAGGACACCUAAAAUCCAAAGCUUGGGGAUGCCUCGGAAGGCAUCCCCUCUUUCGUCUACUUCUAUCGAUAACUUUACUUGGAGCUAUAUUUUUAUUUACCACAUGAUAUGUGUUUUGCUUGGAGCGUCUUGUAUUAUUUGAGUCUUUAUUUGUUAGUUUUCCACAAUCAUCCUUUCUGCACACACCUUUUUUAGAGAGACACUCAUGGUUCGGAGAUUGUUAGAAUACUCUAUGUGCUUCACUUAUAUCUUUUUGAGUUAUAUAGUUUUUGCUCUAGUGCAUCACUUAUAUCUUUUAGAGCAUGAUGGUGGAUUUGUUUUAUAGAAACUUUUGUUAUCUCAUGCUUCACUUAGAUUAUUUUGAGAGUCCUACAAACAGCAUGGUAAUUUUCUUUAAUUAUGUUAGGCAUUCAAGAUUAAUAAUAAAAUUUUCUUAUGAGUGUGUUGAAUACUAUGAGGAGUUUGAAACUUGAUAAUUGUUUUGAGAUAUGGAGAUGGUGAUAUUAGAGUCGUGCUAAUUGAGUAGUUGUGAAUUUGAGAAAUGCUUGUGUUGAAGUUUGUGAUUCCCGUAGCAUGCACGUAUGGUGAACUAUUAUGUUAAGAAGUUGGAGCAUGAUGUAUUUAUUGAUUGUCCUCCUUACGAGUGGCGGUCGGGGACGAGCGAUGGUCUUUUCCUACCAAUCUAUCCCCCUAGGAGCAUGCGCGUUGUACUUUGCUUCGAUAACUAAUAGAUUUUUGCAAUAAGUAUGUGAGUUCUUUAUGACUAAUGUUGAGUCCAUGGAUUAUACGCACUCUCACCCUUCCACCAUUGCUAGCCUCUCUAAUACCGCGCACCUUUCGCCGGUAUCAUACACCCACCAUAUACCUUCCUCAAAACAGCCACCAUACCUACCUAUCAUGGCAUUUCCAUAGCCAUUCUGAGAUAUAUUGCCAUCACUACAAAAAAAUACACUUCCGUGAGGAUACGUGUUUGUCACAGUAGGUUGCUUUUUUUGUCAUGCAUGUACAUCCAUGACAAAUUUAUGACAGAACCAAGAUAGUCAUACCUGUGCUGUCGUAGAAGUGUUCCAUGACAUUACCAAAAUUAUCAUCACGGAAGUGUCCACUUCCAUGACAAUAAAUCGCGCGUCACAGAAGUGCUUUCGUCAAGGGUGGCCGACACGUGGCAUCCACCGUAACGGAACGUCGUUAAGCUAUCGGGUCGGGUUUUGGAUCCGAUAACCCGUUAACAGCCCCGACCAAUGGGGAUUUUCCACGUGUAAAAUCAUCAUUGGCUGGAGGAAACACGUGUCGGCUCAUCGUUGGGACAGAUGUCAACCACUCAUUGGACGGAAGGCGCCUAUGAUACAUCGACACGUGGCACGGCCCAACAGAGGCCCAUUCCUAUGAAAAGGCCGGCCCGUUUGACUUGGACAAAAGCUGGCGGGCCGGCCCAUGGAAAGCUUGUUAAUGGCCUGUUCGAAUAUAGCCCAUUUACAGCCCGCUAACCCAAGGCCCAUUUCACCCUAUCCGAAUUAGGCCCAGUAGCGUCAUCUGGGCCAUCCAAUAUGAUUCCAGCCCGUUUUCACUUCUGGCCCACAUAUGGCCCAUGACGUCUUUCGGCCCAUAUGAGGCCCUAUGUAACUCUUGGCCUACUAACGACCCGUGGUGAAACUGGGCCGUAAUGAAUAGUGUAUCACUUUACACCCAUUAACGGCUCAUGGUGAAACUGGCCCGUAAUGAACAAUGUAUCACUUUAUACCCAUUAACGGCCCGUUAUUCCGUUGGGCCGUUUCCAGCCCAUGCUAUCUUUCGGCCUUCUCAGAGCCCAUUUAUUCUUGGGCUCAUUUCCAGCAUUCAUUUACUUACAGCCCGUUACUGUCAUUUUCUGCUUGUGGGCCAAAUUCAGCCCGUGGUUACAGUCGGCCCGUUUGUGGUCCGUUAAUACGUUGGGCCGAUUUCAUAGCGUCAUCAAAUACGGCCUAUUAACGAUGGCCCGUUAUGGUCGGCCCAUGAACGGACGAUUCCAACUCUAGCCCAUUUAUGGCCAUAAUGCGGUCUGUUUGGCCCAUGUUUAGCCAAUCGAUUAUACGGCCCGUAUAAGGCCCAUUGAUAAUAUGGCCCACAGAAGGCCCAUUGUUUCUACGGCCCGUAGAAGGCCCAUUGUUUCUACGGCCCGUAGAAGACCCACUGUUUCUACGGCCAGUAGGAGGCCCAGUGUCACUAUAGUAAAUAUUAGCCCAUGGUUAUUGUGGCCUAGUCUUAAAAAAUAGGUUAUUGCAGCCACUAGCUAACCGCGGAAAAAGAACUGGAAUGUCUACAAGUAAAAAAAUAAACAAGACAACAAGGAAAUAAAUAAGCAAGCAACUAAUGCUAGGCUAUCAUGGCUAUUACACAUAUUACAUCCACUGGGCAUCAAAGUUCGCCACCAGUGCAAAUAUAGGGAACAAAGCAGCAUAUCAUAUACACUGGUUGUCAAAGUUGACGACCAGCGUAAAUAAACGCCGCAGCAAAACAAAUCCAGAACUGAAACCACUUCAAAAGAUCUCAAGAAACAAUAUCCUGGGUACCCAUAAUGCUGGCAAGAUGCUUAGCAAGCUCAUUAACUUUCUCUUGUUUGGCGCUUAAAUCCUCCAGCUCUUGCUGUUGCACCAGAAAAUAUGCAUCUGAAUUCUGCAGGGACUUCCUCACUCCUUCAGCUUCCUGUCGUAGCACAUCUGAUCGAUGUCUUUCAACUUGAAGUUAAGACUCAAGAAGAUGAACUGAUCCAAGCAGCGAGUUCGAAGAGCUUGUGCCAGCGGUAGUGGCCAGUAACUCGAACACUAUAUCAAGACAGGACUUUUGGGUUCCCUCACUGUCGUCAAGAUAUUUUUAUCAGCUUUCUUGGAGACCAACAUGGAUGUCUCACUAUCUUGAACCUUAUCUGCAUUACUUCCUUUACCAUUGGAUAACGGGGUUCUGUUCUCCAAUAUUUUGUCCACAUUCUAAAAGAGAAACAAGCAGACACAUCACAUGUUUACCAUGUUGUAUAUGAAACUCAUUUUGGUAAAUGAGUUCAGUAGUAAAGUGGACAGGAUAACAACAUGAAACAAACAUAUAUCUAUGUACCAUGGUCACUUUAUGGUCUAUAUCAUUCUAGUUUUUGUUGUCAAAUCAAGAUAGAGACACGGUUCAAAUAAUAUUUGUUCAAGACAAAGCAGAAUAGACAUAAUAUAAGGGUGGGUAACUAUAGAGCAAUAACAACACUUGUAAUGUGCAUGACAUGAGAACAUAACUGUUUAUUCAAUUGAAACUGAAAUCAACAUAGAGCAGGUUACAACAGCAAACCAGUUAAAGAAACAGGUUUAAAACAUACCUGUUGCGCCAUUGGAGUUUCAAUUCCAUCCUUCAAAUUUGAAAAUAGUUGGUAUGAGUAAAUACAGUCAUGCAAGAGCAAAGGAGUAUGAACCAUAGCUACAGAACCUGACCUGAGAACAAAUCUUCUUCUCCUUUAAGCGUUGAGUUGGGAUUCGGAGUGGUGGUCCUCGUGCUUUGGGCACUGUAGUUCCCUUACUAACUGCUCGUGUUUGGGUGCUCUGUGGUGGAGACGGUGUUGUGUCAACUGGAACUGGGUUACUAUCUGCCGGGGUUGGGGUUUGAAGGGGUGUAGCUUGUUCUCUGUCCAACUGGGUAGGGGUACAAUCUGCGAGAGUCUGGGUUAUGUGUGGUGGAUCUGGUCCUUGGGCAAGUACAACCGUGGUUCUAUCUGCAUCAACUGGUAGCACUAUCUUUUCUGAAGACCGUGUUGUUACUCCCUUAGAUACUGCCAUCACGCUCUCCAAUUCAAAUGGCUGAUAAACAAGAAAAGUAAUUGAAAGUAUAGACAUUGUAUGAUAGACAGGUGCAAUGGAUAGUGGGGAAUAAAAGAGGGCAUGAAAUAAUUCAUAUUUAUUGUUGUCUAACCAAAUAGGAUAGCAUGACACAAUUUCACAUAUAUGAUGGCUAACUAAAUAGGAUAGCAUGACACAAUUUCACAUUAUGAUGGCUAACUAAAAAAGAUGGAAAGACAUAGUUCAAAAUAUGAGACUAUGUAAAAAGGAUGACAUGACAUAACUAUAUAAUGUGUUUAUUAAAUAGGUUGGCAUGCCAUAAUUCACAUACAUUCACGGAUAGAAUGCCAUAAUUCAAAAUAUGAUGAAUGUAAACACUAAACAGGAUGAGAUGAUAUAACUAUAUGAUGUCUUUAUUAAAUGGGUUGCCAUGCCAUAAUUCAGAUAGAUGUUGUGUAUGUACUAUGUAAACAUGAUGGCAUGAUAUAAUUCAAAUAUAUGAUUUAUAUAGUAAGCAAGUAAGCAGAUGACAGUCCAUAUAUAAUGUAAAAACUAAGCAAUGCAAGACAACAUGCAUGACAUGGGUAAUAUAACCCUGCCAAGUUUGAGCAUGGACCUCAGGGGGAAAAUAGGACCGGUCAUCAGUCUCUGAAUCCUCCUCUGAGGAGCUCUCUGUAACCAGCAAGAUGUCUGUUUCAGCAGGUAGCAUUGUCUGCUCUGAAUACCUUGUUUUCACUCCAGAUACUUCCAUCACUGCUUCAAAUGGCUGAUGCACAGGAAGAGUAGUUGAAUAUACAAACGUUGUCACCAAAUGGAACACGUAAUACAAAAAAAUGAUAGCAUGAUAUAAUUCACAUACAUGAUGAUUGGCUAAACAGCAUGGCAUUGCAUAAUUCACAUAUAUAAUGCCUUUGCAACAAUAUAGCAUUGUAUAAUUCACAUAUAUAAUGUCUUGCAACAAGAUGGCAAUGCAUAAUUCAUAUAUAUGGUAAUUAGAUACUGAACAGGUGGCAUUAACACAAAGCAUGUCUAAACUAAUCAAAUGACAUAGCAAUGCGAGACACCAUACGCAUGAUAUGAGCAACAUAACCCUGCCAAGUUAGAGCAUACACCUCGGGGGGGGGGGGAAUAGGACUGGUCAUCUAUCUCCGAAUCCUCCUCUGAGGAGCUAUCCGUAAACAGCGAGAUAUGCGCUUCGUCAGAUAGCAUAGUCUGCUCUGAAGGCCUUGUUUUCACUCCAGAAUUUGCCAUCACCGUGUCAAAUGGCUGAUGCACACAAAGAGCAGUUGAAUGUAAUAAUAUUGUUGACAAAUGUAACGAAAAAAAGGAUGGCCUGAUAUAAUUUACAUAUAAGAUGACUGGCUAAGCAGGAUGGCAUUGCAAAAUUCACAUAUAUGAUGCCUGGCUAAACAAGAUGGCGUUGCAUAAUUCACAUAAACGAUGAAUAAACUAAACAGAUGGCAUUUGCACAAAGGAUGUCUAAACUAAGCAGAUGACAUAUUUAAUGUAUAAAGUAAGCAAUGAAAGACACCAUAUGCAUGAUAUAACCAACAUCAGCAUGCCAAGUUAGAGCGAAGACCUCAGGGGGUAAAUAGGAGUUGUCUUCUCCUUCUGAAUACCCCUCAGAACAGAUAUUCCCUCUCGAUUACAAUCCGAAAUGCAUGGAGGGGGGCUGCCUUUACACCUACCAUGGAGCGACGUUUGCAUGAAAUUUUAUUGCCACGCAAGGCUAGUCUCUUUUGCUCUACAUGUUCAGUUCCAUUGUUUACAAUAACUGUCCUGCAUAGGAAUAAAACAUAGUGAGAUUAUGUAAGGGGUGCAUGCAGAAAUCCAGAGUGAUGGUAGCAACCUGUGGAUAGACCCAAAACCAAUAAUAGCAGGCAGACAAUGGCUUCAGUUAAAAAAUACAGAUAAUGGCUUCUUUACUGUUUGUUUCCCACCCAACAUGAAACUCAUAGUAGACACCGGAGAUUAACCAGAUAGACCCGUGUAGUCCUUGAGGUCAUCUGCUCGGUUGAUGAUGGUAGUGCAGUUUUCAUGGCUGCUAGCGGCGGGGAAGAAGAUCUGAGGCGACGAAAGACAGUCUGGAGGCCGGAUCCCUGCUGUGCUGGACCCUUCUAUCAUUGGAGCAGCUGAGCUGGGGUGGACGACGACGCAGCAGGAGCGGGACAAACCACGCAAGGUUUUCUUUGACAACUAUCUGUAAGAGAAGUAAUUCUGUAAGGGCUCGUUUGAAUUGGAGGAUUACAACAAUGCAGGGAUAGGAAAUAGAUAGGAAUAGGAUAGGAAUGCACGUGCAAAACAGAGAAUUUAAAAACACAGGAUUUCUGCCAAUCUGGGUGUUUGAUUCACAACAAUUGGAAGAUCACAGGAUGCAAAGAAGCAUGGUGAGAUUAAGUCAAACCACAAGAAAAUGUACGGUUAUAAUGCUAUUAUGCUACUAUCUAUUAGUCUUGUGCUUCAUGAAUAGGAAUUCGAAAAGGAGGACAAGUGAAAAUUAAAAUUCCUACGUUUUUUCUUUCAAGGAGACACUAAAGGAACAAAUCCGUGUGCUUAGUGGACAAUAUAUAUAACAUGUAGAGUAAAAAAGAGAUGCAACAAGUGUACAACCUCUUUUGCGAAGCCAUGUUGAUCUCAGCGUGAUUGGGUUGGCCGGUGAGGAUGCUUCGGCAGACUUGGCUGUCGGAGGAGGGGAAGGAGAUCUUAGGCGUCUGGAGAUGGAGCCCGAGGUACUGCUCCGCUGUGAUGGAGGGUUUCGUCAUUGGAGCAGCUCCGGUGAGUUGUACGACGCCGAGGCUAAAGCAGGACAAGAGAGACAACGAACAAUGUUAACCUGAGUGGAAUUCUAAUAGCAUCUCCAAUACAUGACGUAAAAUACAUAACCACAAAGUGCUAGAUGUAAAAUACAUUAGCCGCUCAUCUUUGAACUUAACUGUCGAAACUGAACUUAACUGUCGAAACCGAACUUAACUGUCGAAACUGAAUUUUGCUGUCGAAACUGAAUUUUGCUGUCAAAACUGGACGCACUAGCAAGGUGAGGCUACACGUCGGUCGACUGACUUUUUCAUCUCUGGUCAGUCGAUUUUGUAGCCGUUGGAUAUGAAAUCAAGGGCCUGCGGUUCAUCUUCAACCUCCACCCCCUGAGCCGGCCAAACAGCAGCCCCCCGCCGGUCCGCCGCCGCCCCGGCCAUCCCUCUAGCCCCCCAGUGCCGAGCUUUUUCUCCGGCGAUCCCCACGCCACCGCCCCGCCAACGCCCCGCCAUCGCUGGUGACCACCGCCCCCAUCCUGAACCCUAAGAUAGAUAGUGGGGUACCUCUCCGGUGAGCCCCCCUCCCUGCUGCGGCUGGUUCUUCCUUCACCCCAGCGGCAUCGGAGUGAAGUGUAGCUAAAUCGGAGGAGCAUCGCAAGCAAGAGCAAGAGCGAGAGCAGCAACGCGAGCAAGAGCAAUAGCAAGAGCAGACCAGGCAGGGGACCGAGAGCAAGAGCAGAGCAGCAACAUGAGCGAGAGCUAAAGUAGCAGCAGGUCCUACUAAUGUGGACGUCGCCGCCGAGGGAGCGACGCCAUGGAGGAAGUGGCCGGCGAUGCCGCCGUGGAUGGAGCCGCGCCGUGUCGGCUCGGGACCGAGCGCCGGCAGCACUGUGAGAUCGAAUCAAGAAGAAAAUGCGACGAUUAGUGUACAACCUCUUUCGUGGCGUCGAUUAGGCCGCAACUUCAUGCAAGGAAACGGUGAUGAUGAUGCUCUUCCGGUGGUGCAGGUGAAGACGGCGACGUGGGAAUGGAGGUGGCGCGAAAGACGAGGGGAACGUUGGAGCAGCUCCUUGGAGGUGGAGGACGGGGUGGCUGAACCGGCGGGAUGAUGAGAUCGACGACGGAUCCUCAUCCGAUACGGUGGAUGAGGGACGUCGAGGUGUUGUUGUGGACGACAUCGUCGGGGAAGAGGCUCCGGCUGGGUGGCGGACGGAGCAGGGUGUGGGGUUUCGUCGCGGGUUUUUGCGCCCUCGGUGUACGAAUGGGUGGGCGGAUGGGAUGGCAGUGGGGAACCAUGGCUUAGAGACGCGCUUGUCCGAAAUGUGGGGUAAGUUACGAAAGUACCCCCACCGAUUUGAGGCGGUUCUUUCGGUUCAGGGGUACCACGGGCAUUUCGCGUGUCGGGAUUUCACAGGAGGUGGGAGUUUUCACGCGCGUUGUAAUUUCGGAAUAGCAAGGUGCGGGUUGAGAUGGAGGGAGUUGUCGGAGCACAACGAGACAAAGAUAUAUCUUAAAUAUUUCGGGCUAACAAGGCGCGGGUUGAAAUUUCCGGACAAUCCUAACGUGUACUGUACCAAAUCAAUGCGCCCUACAAAUGUCAUUCAAAACUUUGAAUUCAUGUUAUGUUCAAUUAAAAUAUUUCGCUACGUGUAUAAUGCAUGCAACCUACUACUCAAAUGAACGUUUUAGUGCAUUCCAAACGUAUAUACUACCGCUUCAAUAUGAACUAAAUUUGAAUUCGUUUCUCUAUUUGAAUAAGAUCUACAGUAAUGAUUGUUGUGAAGUCAAAGCAUUUGAAUUUGUUUCUCUAUUUUAAUAAGAUCUACAAUCAUCAUUAUUGUCAAGUUAAACCAUCGUUUGUGUAUUAUCUUCACAGCACACCACAUGAUUAGUCUCGAGUUACAUAUGCACUAUGUGUACUAUAUGAGCUUGAACUAGAUUUUUUGAAUCCACUUUAUUUUGAUUUCAAAUCACAUUACAUUUCUAGCUCUAGCUAGAUCUUCAUAAUCUAAACCAUUUCUCAUAUGUAUAAUGUGUUUAUCACAUUAUGUAUGGUGCCCCGCCCCAUACGCCUACAAGUAUUUAGAUGUGAGUUGCAAACAUCACACAUUACCACAAAUUCAAAUAAAAUGUGAGAAUGUUCGAUAUAUAGUAUUGUUUAGAUUGUUCGAUAUUUAGUUGUAAGCUACAAACGCCACACAUUAUCACAAAUUCAAAUAAAAUGUGAGAUUGUUUGAUGUAUAGUAUGGUUUAGAUUGUUCGGCAUUUAGCUGUGAGUUGCAAACACCAUGCAUUAUCACAUUAUGGUAUGACAUGUGCACAUCAUGUGUAUCACCGCUAUAUUCAUGCAUGCAAUGUUUAAAACACUAUGAUCUCCUAUUCAAAUAUAUGAAUCCGCUUUCAUAUCAAAUUAUGAUCUUUGUUAGUCUCUUACACCCACACAAUCCUCUAACCUUUGUAGCUAACACUAACUUUCUCUCGUGCAUGCACAUGCCCUCCUCUCCCUCCCCCUCCCUCGGCAUUCUAUCCACCGGGCACAUUCAAUUUUUUCUUUAGGUCGUUCUCCCACAGUCUCCACAACUCCUUUCCGACACACACCGAUCAAUAAACCUCUCCAGUGAUGCCUGCCUACAACAUACAAACACACCUUCAAUCUCCUCCUUUAUGUGUCCUUGCCUCAUGUCUCUCAUACGGUCAGACACGCGUGUAAACUCUCGCCCCUCUUUUCAUCGCUCUCUCACAACCGCACACUCCUCCCCCUAUCUAGCUAGUAGUUGGGCCUCUCGCACCACCUCCUAGCUCCAUUCUCUCUGUCUAUCCAUCUCGCUGGGCCUUAUUAGCCUCUAACAAAUGGACGUACACCGACCGAUCUCUCGCUAUACAUAUAGCUAGCUAGGUCCUUAUAACUCGUUUUUACCCACACGUCAAUCGAUCUACCUCAUUAGUUGUGUCUCUCCCUUCCUCCGACAAACAACAAUUGAUCUACCGAUCUAGUUAGGUUUUCUUACCAAACACAUGGUUCCCCUUCAUCAUCCAUGGAUGUGUCUCGACAGAUCUGUCACGCACAUGCACACACAGAAACACAUCCCCACUCUUAUUGAUAACAUUGCAGUUCCACCCUCAGUUUGUCUAGUAGGCCUCUCCCACGAUCUUCGAGAAGCAACGCCAUCACCCAUCCAGCACUCUACCCCUCUCCCUCCCUCUCCCUCCCUCCCUCUCUCUCCUCUAUCUCUCUCCCAUCAUAUUUCCCGUCCUUUAGUUAUGUAUGGAUGUCGACCGAUCUCCCUCAAGACAUAGUUGGUUCUCUCCUUCUCAACACAUAUACGAGUCGUUCUACCUCUAUAGUUAGGCCUCUGCCUACCCCUCCCACCACCCCCUCCCCCCACACACACCGAUACAUCGAGCGCUCUAGUCAUGUCUCCCUGCCACACACAAACUUGAAGUGUGCCCGCUCACGUUCCAGUAGGCCAGUCACCCUAUAUCUUUGACUUGUACACACACACAAUUUCGAUGGCUCUCUUCAUCGAUCUCGCACCCACCCACUUGAUCCUCUCUUCUACUCUAUCGAUAGCUAUGACCCCUCCCUCUCUUCUCGUGGAUUGCCCAACCCUCUAUGUAUGAUAUGGAUAGGCCUCCAUUUCACACACAUUUCAUUCAAAAUUUUGUCUAAGAUGUCAUCGACACAUAUUCCCACAAAUAAUUCACGAAAUCAACCCCGCACCCCAGCCCCACCCCAAAACAAAAAACACUCACGAAUGCGGUUUGUAUCUCUCUCACACACCCACGUAGGUGGGGAACAUGCACGAAGAGAAGAGGUGCAUGCACGGCGCACGUACUCCCGUCUCUUUCCCAACCACAUCCACGUGGGUACACGGUGGAGCUCAUUUCUGUGCGAAAAAGGCAGCCCACGUGGUAAUUUGGCACGUGUACUGGUUGUCCAGUUGGUGGAGGGAGGAUCGUCUACCACGGGUGAACAAACAAAUUGCGACUUGACGUGUUAUGUUAAAAAAGGAGGCAAACCAUGUGGGGCCUACCUUAGAGGCAAGGCUCUAUACAUUGGAGUACUUUUGAUGUGUCCCGUCAACUCACAGAACGAGGAGAAGCUUGCUUAGUACGUCAUCUCCCCCGCCCACGGGCGCGGUGGCUCACAGGAUGAGGUGAAGCUUGCUUACUAUGCCUUACGCCCGCUCCCUCGCCCAUGCGCGCGGUGGCUCGCAGGACGAGGAGAAAUAAAUUACUACUCCGUCCGUUUACUCCUCGUCCCUACUACCUUGGUUAUAGAGAUUAUAUCAUAUUGUUUGGAAUAUGUAUGUCCUUUAGUAGAUUUCAAUAUGAACUACUAGUACAUACUCCAAACACUGAUGUAUAUAGAUAUAUUUUAGAGUGUAGAUUCACUCAUUUUGCUCCGUAUGUAGCACUCUCCCUCGCCCCUCGACCCUCGCCCACGUGGUGGACGUGCAACAAUUCAUUCGGUCUCAUAUAGCCAGAACGAUAUAUACUGCACUACUAUUAUUGCUCGAAUUCCCGAAGAGGCGAAGAGCCAAUCGCAAGGUCAAUAUUUUGGAGAUGCCAAGCGCAAGGUUAUAGGAGAACGAGUAGUAGAUGCCGCGUCAUUUAUAAAUAAAGUUUUUUUCUUUAGUGGCACGUACGCAAUAUGAUAGGUUCAUAUGGAGAGAAAAGGAGUACAUAGUCAGGACGGGCCAGCCUACACGGUUGCUUGCGGGGGUUGCUCUCUUCACACUCUCUCGCACAAAACGACUGUGGCCACAUCUCUAACAUCCUGGCGUAUCACAUAUGCUUGGGGAAGGGGUGGAUGCUUAGUGUAGAUGCGGUGGCCGUCGCCGAUGGCGAAAACCCACUAUCAGCACAUCCCGAUCAGGGGUCCCUGCCGUUCUCUCUCACAAAGCCGGUAAGGUUGCCUUCGUCCCUUGCUCACUACCAUGACGUGGGUAGUUGCUGCCUCACGCCGCCCUCCUCAAGGUUCAGCUACGUCCCUCAGGUACAACUCCCUUUACAGCCGGCUUGCACCACUGCUCCAGCUGCCCACAUCACUCCCUGUGGAUAUUUCUCUACUUCUUUGCCCCGCACAUACCUCUACUGGCUUCUACGUACUGUAUUUGUAAUGAGUUUAUGUUUCAUCAACUAGUCCCAGUAAUCUUAUUCUAAUCACGCUUGUUCAAUUUCUUUGCCACAGGGAUGCUCAUCUCGAUUUUGGUGAAACUGCAAAAAUGAUCCGAUGGUCAAAAGGUUGCAAACUUCAUUUAUUAGGAAGCUCGAACGUUGCCAGCAAAUUGAAGCUUGGUCAGGGUUCACGGUUUAAGGGCUAGGGACUGCAUGGAUCAUUUUUUUCUUUAGCUGCCUCUAUUCCAAAAUAAGUGUCAACUUUAGUAGUAGUACAACUUUGUACUAAAGUUUGCACAAAGUUGAGAAACUUAUUUUGGAAUGGAGGGAGUACAUAUUUGCUAUGAUCUGUCAAUCAUUGAGAUGCAAUAGCAUGCAUGUUAGUCUCCUUUGUAUUUGAUGAAAUGUUGCAACGGGCAACCUAGGACGCAAGAUACCUGUAACAGAAGCUGGAAGCUUCAUAACAUUGUACAAAUUUAUCUCGCCGAUAAAUUACAGUACGUACUAUACUAGUAGUUCCUCCAUUCCUAAAUAUAAGUCUUUGUAGAGAUUUCACCAUGAACCACAUGCGGAUGUAUAUAGAUGCAUUUUAAGUGUAGAUUCAUUCAUUUUGUUCCGUAUGUAGUGGAAUCUCUACAAAGACUUAUAUCUACUAGUAAUAUCUAGCCCCCACUACUAGGAAUUCUCUAUCCUCUCCUUGAGCCACGUCAUCAAAAUUGAUGUAGCCGUUAGAUGAAGUAAAUCUGUCCAUAAUAGCCGUCUGAUCUUGACGUUGAGAGGCUCCGCACUAAGCCACAUGCAAGCAUGCAGAAAUACCAUGCCACAUGCAUGUGAGUGAGUUUUAAAUCACAUCAACAUGUCUGCAUGCAAGCAUGCACCGGUAGCAUGCAUGUAAGUGAGCUUUUAAGUCCCAUUAACAUGUCAAAAAGAAAAAUAUAAUCCCAUUAUGCAGUAGGAGUUCAGGAGUUGGCUGAUCUUUUUUCCUUACGUGGGAUGAUCUAAAUGAUGAUGGGAGUUUAUUUAGUUUGGCUACCACAUUUGUCAUGCGGUUAUAGAGUUUUUUUUGUUCUAUGAAAUCGAUAAUUUUGCGUAGAGAGAUAUACCGCUGUUCCGCACCAACGCGCUAGGACUCAUCUAGUAAUAUUUAGGAAUGGAGGGAGUACUAUGUAAAGAGUUAGGUGUUGCACGGUGAUAGUAGUGUGAGGUGGGCCAUGUAAUCACUGAGCCUGCGUGUUUUCACUGCUAUUGCACGCCUCCGGUGUAAGAAUGGAGAAAAUUGUAAUCUAGUAGUAGUAGUAUACCUCCUUUCGCCGAAAGCGUGGGACAUCCAGCAGUCCUACCACCUCAGUAAUAAAGACCAAUGAGCCGUCAAAUCACAUAGACCCAGCAGUAAGUUGGACGGACGAAGCAACCAUCACUCUUGCGCCACUGAGAGGUCGUGUCCGCUCUGCCCGGGCAUGAAUGCGGCACCGAUUCUUUGGACCGGCGCUAACUGUUUUGGGCAGGAAGUGCGCGCGGGCGAUGGAGGGGCUUUGGUGGGCCAGGCUGGUCAGGAGCGGGCGUGGCAGUUGUCCUCAUGUCCCUACCGGACAUGCCCGGAAACGAGAGGAUGCACCGACUCUCGCGGCUAAAAUCGUACGCUACAUAACAUCUCUCUGUAGGAGUAGGUCGAUCUGUCGCUCUCUCUAACACACACAUGGUGUUAAACACACACACACACACACGCACACACACACGCACCUUGGUCCCGUUGCACCUUCUAACGUGACUUAUUACACCUAGACGGAGGGAGUAGUAAGUAUACAAGAUACGGUGGCACACUAACUUAAGUCGAAUACAAGUGGCCAAAAUUUGUGUGCAUGUUAUAAUAAGGAUUCACUUAAAAUAGUACGUGAGCGAACAGAGGGAUCAAUUGGACAGUGUUCCUGAGCAGUAGCAAAAUGUGUGAGGUAAGAUACACCAUUGGCGCUUUUAAUUUUUCUUAUUAAUUUGUUUGUUUCACCCUCUGACUGGUGGGACCCAAUGUACUACGUGGAGAGAGGUAAGGUGACUAAGGCUGCAUUAUUUCUGCACCAUUGUGGAUAGUCUUACCACCAAAGCCACAUGACACGAUUAUGAUUGAAAUCCCAAUGACUCCCACACACACAAAAAAAACACG
rnacentral:lncRNA from 1 species